rnacentral:lncRNA from 1 species
CUUAGUUGCUUGGCCCUUGGCGCGCCGUUGCUUGGCCUUGCCUCAUAGCUAAUUUCGAAUAUCUCCUCUUCUCUUGCUGACUUACCUUAUCUAUCUGAUUGGAAUCCCCUCCGCCUCCGCAAGUAAAACAUCCGCCUCUGUCCUUAAUGUAAGGGCUGCCUCUCAUCUGUAUUCUGCUCCAUUUGAUUCGAAGCAGCGUACUUAAUAAUAUGGCAGAAGGAGCGGUCAGGCGCUAACCAAUAAACACUCCAGUGAGGUUUGACUCAGUUCUAUACCUGGCAAGGGAGAGGAUACAAUUCAAUACCAUAGGAUGGGUAGGCAAGGACAGAAAGAUAAGACUUAUUUUCAAUAGCCAGAGAUGAGCCUAAUUCCGUUAGCAGAGAGGUAGCAGGUAAGGAAGUUAAGUAUCUUGUAGUAAAGUCUCCUGUUAGGUAUCUAGUUAGGUAUCAGACAAGUACCUAGUUUGCCAGUCCAAGGCCCUUAAGAAUCAGCAGUGAACUUUUCAUUUACUUAAGACAGCAGUAACCAGAGAAUCAGUAGUUACAAGUAAAUCAGCAGUGGGGUAUUUCAGAAACAACUCUCAAUCCGGUCUUCAACUAGCCAAUAACCUACUACUCGGGAAAGCUAUCAAUCAGACUAAGACUAAGCCUAAGAUUGAACUAGAGAAUAGGGUUCUACUGGAAACAGCCAAACAACUACAGUACUGUUCAAUGCCCUUUCCGACCUCAACUCUGUCAACUCAUUCCAUUCUAUUCUUCUUGACUAGACUUUCACUACUGAGUGGAAUUCUUUGUACUAGAUGCUGAAUAUGGGUAAUAGUACACUUCCCUUGCAAGACCCAACAAAGACAGAUGAAACUGUACUACUCCUACUAGAAGUAACUACAACUCCCGGUUAUCAGUGGGGUAAGGCUCGCUUGGUACUGGCUGGGUGAAGUCUAGCUCUAGCUACCCUUGCUCUCAGGCUGUGAUGCACUUGUUUCAGGCUGAUGCUUAGGUGCUUCGGACUGAUGCUUAGGUGUUACAGGCCGAUGCUUGGCCCUUCGACUUCAAACAGAACAGCCGCUAUGUGAGCACAAGCUACUAGUUCUUCGAUGAAACUCUCAACUAAUUCACUCUUUCUGAACUUACAACCCAACCCUAGCACCCGAAGACCAAAUAAGGAUUUGUGUAUUUGCUUGUUUCCCGCACCCCGACUUUACAGAAUGGAGUGAGUGCAUCUGUUUAUAGAACUAAGUCACCUUAGACCUAUGACUGCAGGCUCUGGCUCUGUUUCUUAUCGUAACUGCUCUGUUUCGGAACUGAACUCUACGUCAGCUGAUUGUCUUGCUCUAGCUCAAAGUAACAGACCAAUAGGCUGGGUAUUGAUAACGAAAGCAAUGGGUUUGGGACCUAGAGACUGUGAAGCAAGGGUUGAGAUCAAUAGCUACAGUCCAGUUGGCAUUGGGGCCUUAUUGGUUGUAGAUGCAUUCUCUUACUUAUUAUGAGGAUUCCCAGUUUCUAGCUCAGGUCUUGUUAGCGAUGGUUAAGCCCGAGUUCCUAGUUCCAAUCUGAUUAGCACAAGUUCUAUUCUCUCUUUUGCGUUAGAGCUCGAGAAGCAGUAUAGCAGAGUUCCUAGUUUUAUAGAUCAAUUAUUAUUGUUAUUAGUUCUAUUCUGAGUCUACUUAGUGUCAUUCUGAUCUACUACCCUGGAUGCUCUGAUCCACUACCCUAGAUGCUUGGCCCGUUACUUGGGGUUCAAUUCUGUAAUUCCUACUUAUUUGUUUCAUUCUAACUAUUGAGCACCCGGCUUUAUCAUCUCUAACACCCAGCCCCCUUCUGACUCUAAGGAAUAGUACCGCUCUGCUGCCUUUCGCAUGGCUUCUGUGAUCUUGAAGAAUCGAUUGCUGCCUAACACACUUGAGAACUAUUACUUGCACCAAAACCUUGAACCCUUACUUUUCUUUCACCUAUCCUUGCACUGACCGGACUGGAUUCAACUGGGUCUAUCCCAAUAGCUUAUGAAAGGUGACUCUUGGCAAUCUUUUUAGCAACUAUUAAAGGGGAAUAUCCAGAAAUGCCACUACAGGGACGACUACGAAGAAGGCUAUCCCACAAAGACAGGUGCCGGGUAAAGCACUAGAACUAUAGGAGCGCUUCCUUAUACUUGAUGAAACACUAAUACAGCCGAGGAGAAGGGAAAGAUACUGAUGCAACUACUUAUCGUAACGACGAAGCGCAAUAUACCUCUAGCAUUUCACAUAAUAAAUCACUGGCGCUCCUUACUACCUGAACCAUUGCUUUUCCUUGCCCCACCCACCGGCCCAUACUUCUAUUUUCCAUAGGACAAAGGGUUUCCUUAGAUGUUUUCUCAGAUUUGUUGGUUUACGAACUUUCUCCAUAGUCCACCUUCUUAUACUCACAUUGCUGAGGCCAGGUCCUGGUCCUGCUCGAUGGAGUUUGAGCAGCUGUUUCCGUGCCCACUCCUUGAGACCAAUCUCAAACCUAAACACCUUGUAUUCUUCUGCCAUGUUCCCGAUCUACUGCAUCAAUAACUCAAACUUCCUAAAAAGCGAACAAUACCUAUAUAUCAUGCUACUUCCUGUUGACUUCCUUACUAUGAUUCGCAUCGAGAAAUGCUAAUCUCCUGUGAAAAGAUCUCUCCUAGUUAGAUUCUUCCAUUUUCUACAGAAAAGCUCAUUCUUACCCUGUCCAUUCCCUAGUCUUAGAGCUAGGAGUUUUCAAAUAAUAUGUCUAUCUUGGCUUUGGCUUGGUCUUCAAUUGUCACACUAUCCUUGCUUUCGGGCUAUUUAGUUUACAUUGUUCUCACCUACGAAAAUCCACCUGAUGAAUGCAAGAGGUAAGCCUUGCCUUGUAUUCAAGGUCUACGUCUCGUCCUUACCAUACGCUUCGUAGGCAAGAGGAAUGCUAUCACGUCAACGAUGUGUGAUCUUGCCAAUUCUCAUAUCAAAGAUCUAUCUAUCUUAGUUCUACUCGAAGCAGUAAAAGAUCUAUGCAUUGACUCCGCCUUUAACGCCAAGAGACGAGACUCAAGCUAACAAAACUCCAGACUCACUACUUACUAUCGCCAUUAACUUAAGGGCAGCUUACUACCUUUCAACUUCAUUUUCUCGAGUAGACUGAAAACCAGAACUGCUGAAGAUCCCGAUCCAGGUUAUCCACAACUUGGGCCAUAAGAAAGGUAAACUUAUUGUCCCGCAGCUAUGUAACUGGGCUUGCAGACGGAACUCCACUUUAUGAAUCGCCAACACUGGCAACAGGUUCUUCUCAGGCUUCCUAACCUCGAACAGAAAGAGGAGACUCGUCGACAACAACAAGAAUGACACUUCUCAUUGCUACACACAUGGGUUAUACGCCGAUUCCACUCACACUCACACAGGAACAGGCUAUUCAUUUGCUGAUUCAUUCUCAUCGCCAACACCGGCAACAGAUGUGAUUAACCUAGCUUUCACGCCUGAUUUGGAACUCGCCUCUGCUCUUUCAUCUACUCUUUCUUCCUCACCAUCUCCAUUUCGAAGUUCAACGUAUAUUUCUGCACUGUAAUGCUCUAAUUACCUGUUGUAUCUAUACUAAACGAUCCGAGCCCGAGCCGAGCUUCUUUCUAUGCUUGAAACUUUACUUCCCGCGCUUGCAGUUCACUUUGGACUUACGUAUUACAAAAGAGAUUCCUCCCCGACCCAAACCAAGAGUCAGAGCACCCCCAAGGGAUUCUCGUAGACAACACUAGAACAUACAGCCAAUUGAACCGCUCAACCCUAAUCCUAUGUAACCCUAAAAUCCUAUGUAGAAUUCGGAUUUCUAUACGCUAUCCCUACCAUCUUUAAACUCAACUUGAUACUGGACCUCUGUUCAAGAUCGGAAGCAGUGGCGCGAGGGAGAGUUUCGGUCGGAAAUGAGAAUUAGAAUAUGACUUUUUUGUAUACCAUGUGCUCCAUAAGAAAUUCUGUAUUUGUUUACUCGGCGCUAGGGGGUGAUUUCGCACCCAGAGAGUAAGCAUAAGUUAGUUCUCAUAUGGAAAUAGUAAUGAUUGAGGAAAGGAAUAGGAUUGAUUAGAAGUGGAAUUAGAAGAAAAGAACUGUUAGCUGAUAAAGACAGGAUUAGCUCUGAACUCUACGGAGGACGCAAACUUGACUUUCAACUUACCCGUAAGAAGCACUUGUUCGUCUUGUUGGGCUCCCUAACACCGAUGACUCAAAUAGUACUUUCUCUUUAUUUGAUGAUUGAGUUUUUCCUUGAACGCAUAGUGGGCAUGAGAACUUGGAUUCGGCUUCCGUAUCUUAUGUCUCUUAUGUAGAAGAUUCCACUCGCACUGCGGUCCUCUGAUUCUCGACCAACACAAUUCUAUAUCCGGGCUGGGCUCACUAACCUAACGCUUACGGAUUCUGAUCAAUAGGAAUAGGAAAAAGCUUCUGAUCUCGCUUCAACGCCUUCUUCUUAAUACGGAGCUUAUCUUUCUUGUUAAUCUGAUCCAGUCCACACCUUGUUUAUAAUCUUUCAACAGAGUCUGGGCAUUAUUAAAGAGGAGCAUCAAGGUGUUGUCGACUCGAGAAGUGAUUGUAUUGCUUGUGUCUAAGUCAUAAAGUGGAGUUUAGGGGUGCGUUAGUAGAGUUUCCGUUUUCGGCUUUUACACCAGGUUCCUAUUCUUUGACUUAUUCCUUUGAUUCUUCAGCUGCUUUGGCUCAUUCUUUACUGAUAGUUUGGGCUUUCAGCACCUCGCCUAAAGACUUACUUGCCCCGGGUGAACUCUUGGAUUACUACCCUAUUGGUAGGUAAAAGCCUUACUUUAUGUCCCAGCUGACCAAACCUUUAUCUCGAAACUAGAACCCUGCUCCACUGCACCUUAGCCUAAACCUAGUGCUUCUCGCUCUUUAGCUACUGGCUUCAAAGCUUCCUUUCCUGUCCCUCACUCAUUCUUACUACCUUAACCUUGAUCUUAUGUUUUGAGUGUGAGUCUCCCUCUCUUGACCCCUGAUCUGGUUUGUUAGUUAAGGAAUCCAAUCAAUUAAGUCAGAAUGCAAAAUGGGAUCUCCAAGACUGACUUAGUGCCCCGGCACGCAAGAACGAUCAAACUGGCAAAUAAUAAUAAUGGAAAUAGAGCUAUAGCCUGUAACACCCAAGAUCAGAAGCAGCCCGACCCGAGUUGCAUCCCUUGCCCACCUCUCUGGACUUUCUUGCUUAUAUGUUUGUAGAAUCAAUGCAGGAAUAGAUAAUAUGGGUACGAUCUAAGGCAUACUAAAUAAGUACACUCUAACGCACAUUAAGGAAUCGAGUAGUCAGUAUCAGACUAACAGACAGAAUACAGGAUAUCGGGCGUAGCUCUAAUACUUCUAAUGAAUAAUGUCAAUACAACAUUUACCUCUUUCUUAGAAAGUACAGAAUGCAGUUGCCCUACUCGAGCCCGAACUACGCCUUCAAGCACCAACAACACUUCAAUCUAUCCAUACCCGGAACUGGGCAUUCAACUAGGAACUAACAAUAGUGCUGACAAGGUUUUAACCGGAAACUUUUCAUUCAACUGAUAGGAAUAACCCUAAUAAGUAUAAGAUCAGUAGUUGGAAUCAAACACAGAAGUCAGAAUACUAUUACUAUACUAUAAUAUAUAGAGCCUAUAGAUAUGGAGGAAUCACACUACAAAGUCAAAGAAGAAAAGAAGUGGACAACUAGCAAGGAAACAAUUAACUGGGAAUUCCACUACAAACACAGGAUUCACCUCAUUAGUUUAAGAACCCAACUCAUAUCAGUCAAAGAAUGGGCAAGCUGACAUACAGCACAGAGCUCCACUUCUAAGUAGGCAAGUUGGAAAUCAACUAAUCAGUAAUAGAAUCAAACAAGGAAUAUGGAAUACAAGUACUACGGAUAAGAGCGAAAACAAGGAAUCAAGAAUAUAAGUAGUGAGUAGAAGAGUCGAAAUAGGAGUAUCCGACCCGGGAAUACAAGAUGAAAAACGGAGCAUAGGAGUUUAAGGCAGUAAGGGGAGAAUGACUAUUACCAAUAAGACUGAAGGUGCCAAUAAGGAGAAUAGAACCCCAUAAGAGAAUGUUUGAGCACAGUAAGAAAAGUUCAUGUAGUAAUAAGGAAUUUCAGGAUCAAUACAAGAGCAUGGAAUCAACAAUUGAAGAAUCAACGAUUGAAUCAAAGACAGGGUAGGUAGUCUUGUCAGCAGCAGUUCAAUUCCCUAUAUCGAGUGAAAGUAGUCUAAACAGCAGUUCGAGUAAACGAGUAAAUAGGUGCGUGCAGCAGUGCUUAUUUCUUGUUAUCAGUAGUUCUAUUCUUUUUAUUGAUCCGAGCUCAUACGUGAUAGGAGCGGCAGGCUUACUUCUUAACUAAGUAAUGGCAGUAACAUCUAUUGAGGUAGUAGUCAGUACAUCGAGUUCAAUCCAUUGGAAAUUCCAUUCGUGAUAACAAGGCUUUGAACCAAUGCUAGAAAGAAUUGCACCCGGGAAUCACACUCGAUAUAAGGUGUUUCUCAGACCUUAACUCGGGACUGAGAAUGCUACUACCACUAUGUAGUUCUAAAAUGGUUGACUUCAAUCUGAUAUCCCUAACUUUCAUGCUUUAACACUGACAGCCAAACCUUACUUGUUAGUUUUCAUAUUUGACUGCUUACUUUCGUUCUUUGACUCAAUACCUGGCAUUCCCUAUUGAACCUGUUAGCCUGUCCGGCUUUAUGUAACAAUAAAUAGAUUAGUGCAUUUGACACUAGAGCAGUACUUCUUUGGUGUUGAUAGCUAAUCCAGCAUAUCAUAUCACUCACAUAGCUUAGAGUACAUUUGAUGCCUAUAACACAGGAGUCAAAGAGGAGCAUAAGAACCAAAGUCAGGACAGUUAGCGCCCAGGUUGUUAUAUUCUCGGGGUUGAACUAAGGUCUGAUCGGUGCCAUAAGAGUUUGAUUCUCUUUUUGGAACUAAGGUCUGAUCGGUAGCAGUUACAUCCUUUUAGUAGUUUUUGCUUGUACGUUCGUUGCUUAGCCCCUAAUAAAUGACUCUAUUAUAUUAUAUCAUAAAACCAAUUCCAAUAGAAGUUAAUUCACUUUCGUUUUUAGUCGACUAACACCCAACUCUCCUAAUAACUGGGUAACAGCAAUAAUAACUCGGUUAAAGCAAAGGGAAGGGUAAAGCCUAGCACCGACCUAGACUCCAAUACAAUAAGUGUUAGCGCAAGGGCGUGUACAGUCAAAAGGGUAUUAUACAAAAUCAAGAUUACAUUACAUGGCUAAAAAGCAUUUGUAGCAGGGGUCAGGCGUGGGUGUUUUCUUUCUUAUCUUAGAAAAGAGGGCAUCAAAGCAAGUACUUUCUUAUUCCCCGACCUAAACUAUGGCUCUGUCAACUAAGAAAGAAUUCUACUCACACUCGAGUAGGACUACUGGAUCUUAUGGAUUCAUCAAGAGAAGAAAGGAGCUCAGUUGCCCAGGACUACCACUACUGGGAUGCAACAAGAACAGAAAGAGACUUUUUCACAAAACCCCGGCAGGCAGCCCUAAGAACAACAACUAGUAGACGCCCUUUAAGUCGUGGUAAGCCCAUCUCUUAUUAAACUAUAGCAACUCUCCCCCUCGGUAUUCCACUCUAACAGCAGCUGACUUGAUAACAGUAACAGGGGCAGCGGACUGAACUCCUUCUCUUACCCAGCCUUAGUAGCUUGUCGACUUGGCCCUCUCUUUGUAUUUGUAGUUGUAGGUUGUCUCAUACUUGAAUCUAAGAGGCACGCACCGGGUUGGUUACUUCGCCACCGUAGCUCCUUAUACUAUGCUUGGCUCUGUUACUACUUAGUGCAAUUCUGAUUCUGUGACUACCUCCUAAACAGCUUCCCGACCUCUCCUCUCACUGCAGUUCAUCCAGCGGAUUUUACCUUAACAAUACUUUCUUUGCAACUGAAACAAGGGAUUCAACUCAAACCGCAUUAGCGGAAAACCGAGUACUUGAUUCCUCCUCUCACUCUACUACUUAAAGUUCAUAAUUCCAUUAUUGAUUUAUUGCACCAGUUAUAGUAUUUAGUCAAGAUGGAGCAUCUUCUUCUGUUAUCGACUUUCCUUUCAACCGUAUUGUACUCUAGGUCUAGGCAAAUACAAAGAUUCAAAGUUCAAGGAGUAAUUGAGAGCACAGAGCACUCGGGUAGUUACCAAUAUCUAUAAUACCAUCCCUCGCUCCUCAUUCCGUUUCUUCUGUCGGAUACUUACUUUUUCAUCUCUAGUUAGAAGAGCGCUCGGUGGAUUCAAUCGCAACAAUGAUGGAGGUACAUGCCAUGGCUUCCCUUACUUUUGUCAAGAUUUUCUCCUUAUCUCAGCUUCUCCUCUCAGGUGUGUUGUCUGCCCUGCUUGAGGUUACUAAUCAGAAUUUCCUUAGAUUGCGUAUUUCACCUUUUGGUAAGAAAUGCUUGCAGCUGAUGGACUUUCUACUGUUGAACCUCUCUCGUAAACUUAACUCGCAUUGCCAACAAGAUCCGUGCCUCACCUAAGCCCGGAGCUCCAAUAAUAAAUAGAAGUUUUUGUCGACCUCAACUCUGCAAGUAAAACAUCUGCCUCCGGUUCUUUGAACGUGGACUGGGCGGAAGAAAGAGCCUACGGUUGGGUAGUUACAGAUUCUAUGAGACCACCAUGGCUAACUUGAAUUCUAUCUUCUUCAAUUCUAUCUUAUAUGAGAGAACUGAUUAAACUCGCCAAUAAACCUAGAAAGUGGGAAUUGCCCUCCAUCUCGCCAACUACUUCAGCAUAAGGGCCGGGAAUUGUUAUCAAAUGAAAGAAGGGAGUGGCAGAUCUUGUAUAGUUGGAUGAAACACUACUUGCUCCGGCAAACUCCAUACGCCCGUGUUUUGUUGAGUGAGUUAGAAUGAAUUGAACUCGUCCCUUAAGUGACUGGGAAUGAAUUGAACUCCAUUAACCUUACUUUAGUUUUGAUGGAAGGAACCUAGACGUUACUCACCAACUACAGGCUAGGCUCUGCCAACUAUUAACUGCAUUAGGUAUACCUCAUUCAGUUAUAAGAGAUUCCAUAGUCUCUAGAGAUUCAAUCGGGCAAGCUACGGGAAAGCAGCGGCAUACAAUCCGUUUUCACCAAAACUGGAGUUCGAAAGUAAACAGCAAGCGGGAAGGGAGUUAAUCAACUCUUUCUUUAGUAAUCUACCGCAGAGUGGGCUUAGUAUAGGUCUCAAUCUGGUCUUCUAGCUACCCUUUCUUUACUUCCCCGACCCGAACUCUAAUAAGUGCCCGAGGACUGCUGAGGUCAAUUCUGUAACUCUAACAGGCAAUUCAUAAGCUCAUUCUCCCACUUAAGAUUAUGAUCCUGAUCUCGUCGACACUGAUCUUGAGUCACUCACCUUAGCACCAGUUCUUGGGCCUGGUAAUACUUAUUCUUGGGCCCGGUAAUACUUAUGUUAGUCUGAAGUUAAUGAAAGGUCUUGCUGCUGACGACUUCACCGAUGAAAUGAAGGCUUCUGAUCGAGUCGUCAAUACGGAUUCACUUUCAGAUCCGAUUGCAGCUGACUGAUUUCCUUUCUACAGUGGAAGAUCCUUAUUGAAAUUCUUAUCUAGCUCCCCAGCUUUUCCGUAUAAGACUUUCCCUCGCAGAGCUUCUUUAUAAGAUGAAACUAGAGCAGAAACAGCAUUUCCUACUUUAACGACAGAUACUGCAGAUCCAGAUCCUGUUUGUUUUCUCGGCUAAUGUGAGUUUACCGUUUGACUUUACUUCAUACAGUCCAGUCCGUCCUGGUUUCGGGAGCUCUGUGCUCGAUAGAUCCGUAUUUGUUUACUCUGCGCUCGUACGUCCAGUUUUCGGGAGUUAACCUUUUGAAUGUUCAGGAAGUAUUUCUUAUAAGUGCUCUGCAGCGAUAGAAUCAUAAGGAUCCGUUCCAAAGUAAUAAGCUUCAAGUGCUAAGUAAGAGGAAGCGGGGAGUUCUUCUUCAAGUUGAUAGAAAGUCGUAUUUGUGCAGGUCGACUUGUUCGAUUCUGAAAGUCUUGCUUGGAUAGAGAGAGGUUUUUGCUUGUGCAUGAUUAAGUUGGGCGAAUGUUCUCGACCAGAGAGAUUCAAGUGUUGCGGUUAGUGAAUGGAAUGGGUCUGAUUGCACUUCACCGAGAUUAUUGCCUUCUUCUGCGCUAACGGGAAUUUAGAAGUUGAGGAGCUGCUCCAUUCCUAUAUUAUUCUUUCUAUGGGAUGCGCAUUAGAUAGAUUAUUGGAAUUCUUAUUUUCUUACCUUCACCGAUCUUCUUCAGACAACAACCGAACCCACCUAUACAGUGACCAAAUCCAUUAGAAUAACUUGGUUACUUACCUCGCCUACCUCUCAUAACCAUACUUAAGAACUUGAACUGGAGAAGGAUCGGCUCUGUUAACUAUUAACUUCAUUCGCCUCUCUCUCCUCUUCUCUUUCCUCUGAUCUUGCUCAUCUAAGUCAGGAUCAUAAAAAGGGUAAAGAAUAAGGAUAAAGAUCUUCAUAAGGUAAAUCUGAUGUAGAUAAAGAAUUUGGAGUUGGAUAAAGUAAGUCAGCAUAAACUGGAUCUUCAGCAGGAAAGGUAAAUUCCAUGUUUGACUUUACAAGGCGCUCGAGAGAACAAGCAAGGUCGCAACAAGACUUAGUGCUUGCCUUCGGGAGUUUCUGCUUGAUUACAUUCUGAAAUGAUGGGCGGGUGAGAUAGAUUCAUUAUUGGAAGUAAAGGUCACUCCUUUAGCCAUGAAAUAAGGAAUUGUCAUAACUGAGUUUAGGUAUCCUGUGGUGUAUCCAGUUAGUUAGGUGGGUAUCCGACAAGUCACGUAUAGACAAGCAGACAUCUGAGACUAGCAAUCCUUAAAGGUAGGCUCCAAAUUCCUACUAAGAAAUGCAAUUCAGAAGUUAUACCCCCGGACUUCAUUCUGACUUGCUUCAUGAAAAAGUAUAGCUCAUCCAACUCUAUCCUCUGGCUUUUAGGCCCUUAACCUUAUUUUGAGUUGCUUGGUCAUUAUUAGUGUCUUGUCGUCUUGUCAGCUUGGCUGAGCUCGAGUAAUUAGUAUGAGUUAUUGGUGGCAGGGUUCAGGUCUAUGGGAGUGACAGCAGUGCGAGCAAUUGUCGUAUAAGGGGUAUACUCAAAGACAUCGGAUUUCAAAGUAGCACGAUCUAAUUCGCAAAUGUUACCCAAUAUGGCACUACUAUCAUUUCCGUGUAUAAGGAUCGCUAUAACUCACUCCAUCGAGCUUUUAGAGGUAAACGUAUAUGGAAAGCACUAGAGAUUGAGAACUUCUUAUCAUUUCUAGACUAAGUCCAUCUUACUGAAAUAUUUAUGAGCUGGAUUAGGAAUAAGAGCAUCACAUAAGGAACACUCUGUCUCUACUAUUGAUUAAGCACUCCGUAUUAAGAUUAAGCACUCCGUCUCUACUAUAUUAAGGAUUAUCUAGCUAGAGACCAGCAGCAUUAAUGACAGCAGCUCCUUUUGCUUGAAGAGGAAGAACACAGUCUGCGCCUAAUGAGUCUUCGCUUAUGCACCAUAAUGAAAGAGUUGGCUAUGACCAGGUUACUAUCAAACUCGACGGCACCCACUUAAUUCUCUGGGAGCUCCAACUUCCUCUGGUUCGCAGUCAACAACUGCUUGGCGGAACCACUGCUGCUUCAGAAAAGUGGAUAGAGUGCUCGCAAACACGCUCCGUAGCGCAACCCGGUAACUCCUGACGCCGAAAACGAGUAUUGCCUUCUCUCCUACUUCCAGGAUUCCUAUGCCUUGCUUUUACCUCCCAAAAUGGAUUCUUAACACGGAGGAAGUCCACUUUUCGAAUCGUUUUAGAGAGUGACUCCUUUGAGUGCUACUCUGAGUUCUGUCUUCCAAGGAGCUGUCCUUAAGGACCAAUGCCCUUUCUUUAUUGAAUUGAUUUCCUUUAUAGCGUUAGGAGUAAGAUCCGAUUCUAGCACUUGCAUGGUCUCUGGGCUUAACAGCGGAUAAUAGCAUCUGAUCUUAGAAAGUUGGUUGAGUGGGAGCGGCAGUUGGCAGCCUAUCUUGGUUGGCAUGAACACUAGCAUCUUGCUAACACCGGCUUUUUCCUCUGACUAGAAGGAGAUCUUGUUCACGGCGGAUUCCAGACUUUCUUCUUCAAAUGCGGCUUUGGCUUCAGCUAUCUCAUUCGUUCUUUUUUCUCUUUUAUUGGUAGGCGAGGGGGCCGGACAGAAGGUUUACGCGCGGAAUCUAAUCCUUUGCUUGCAAGAAAAAGCUUCAAAGCGACUUGACUAAUCAAAUAGGGCUCCGUUCUAGUCAGCGUAACAACAAUAUACAUAUAAGAAAGAAUCCCAUCCAACUAGCUUAAUUGACUUAAUCUCAGCCAGUAGUGGUCUUUCUCUCUUCACUCUCUGGAUUGCUUGACUAACUGAUCUUUCUUAUCUUAUUGCAUUAGGUUAGGUAGUUUCCCCUUUUUCUAUUAGCCUUGCUGGAUUGAGAAAUAGGAAGGCAAGUGAAUAAGGUAAGCCCUCUGUCUCGACCUGAAAGUCCGUUUGCGAGGCAGUUUGGCAAUUGUUGUAAGAAUGGCAAAACCCACAAGCCCAGAUAAAAGCUUCAAUCUAAGCAAGCAGGAAGCCCGAUGUAGCAGAUGUUUCCUCAGAAGCAUAAGGUGGGAAGCUAAAGCUCACCAUUUACGCUGAUGCCGCUUUUGUUUACGCUAAAAUGAAAUGAAAGUAGGCCAUCCAGAGCUCUCAUGAAUUCUAGUUAAACCAGUGCCGUCUUGUCUGGUACUCGCUAAUAGCUAACAUGAUCGAUCGGACUUUGGUCAUAGACUUAGAAUGCCGAUUAAGGAAUUAGCUACUUUCGCUAGUACUAGGUUAACAGGUCACUUACUACAUUUCUCUAACUAUCAAUCUCUUUUGUUUUCACGUUAACUAGCCGAAGGGGGUUUAUGAUAAGCAUUAGGAGUUCCAUUACUAGCAGCUAUAGAUUCUAGUCUCUCUCUCUCUUUCUCUUACUAGCAGCUAUAGAUUAUAGUCUAUCUCUCUCUCUUUCCCUUAAGAGGUAGGAGUUAGUGGGUUAUGGGUAUAGCCCGUUCUCUUUCUAAAAAAAGAUAGAAUGAAAGUGUGUUGAUAAAUAACCUAUAGGAUGACGAUGUUUACUCUUACUUCUUUUUCCUAAAGUCUUUUAUCGGAUAUCGUUUACUCUUACUUCUUUUUCCUAUAGUCUUUUAUCAGAUAUCAGUAUUGAAAGCAAUUCUCUCUUCUACUUAUGGUUUUGUAUGAGAUGCUCUUUCACGAGCACGAGCUUCCCUACCUUAAAAAACAGAAAGGGCUACCACGGGAUGGACCUAAAUCUAGAGAGUAUCGAGAGCUAAUAGGGAGCAUGGACAGCUUAGACUGCUAAUGUACGUGUACUUUCCCGAGAGAUCAAUUUCAGGAGAGGUCUCUUCGAGCCUAAGAUCUUAAUCAACCAAUCAUGAUAAGGUUUUGACAACCCUUGAGAAUAGAAUUCCAAAUUGCCACAAAGCUAAGGGCGGAAGGGCUUCCACAAUCCCUAAACAACCGAGGAGAGUUUUCUUCCCUGUACCAAAGGGUAGGUUAGGACCAAAGAUAUAUUGGAAAGGCAGGUCGAAAAGCACUAGUUCCGGCCGAACCCUACUAGUAAAGGGCAAAGGAUUGGUGCCCUGCAGAAGCUGAAAGAGAGCUCGUAUAAGGUUUGGAAUGACUAGUUCCCAUGUAAAGUUUCCACCGUAGCUGAUCAAGAUCGAGUAGCAGCAAUCGCUAAUGAAAUUGCAUCAUCGCAUGAUUCAAUGAUAGCGAGAGAAAUAGGCCAGGGAAAGCAGACUCAUUCGUGGUCUAACUGGCUUUAGGCCAUUAUCGACUUGAUCAAUCAUUAGCAAGUCAGGGUUAUACCAUUUAGUCUCAUCCAAAUCCACUAAAACUUCUUAUUUUAGAACAAGUAGAUAGGCUCCAUUACGUUAUUUUAGAAAUUGGAUAUUGGUUUAGUAAGUAGUGGACUUAGACUAGGAUAUUGGAUAGAAGUAGAGUAGUGACGAGACCCGCAUGCUCUUUUGAUGCGUUCCUCUCCUCUUCACGACAGAUGGGAUUCCCUAUACCAAGCUAUCCUCUAGGAGGUCAAUAGGAGCCGAGCCGGGAGUUCUAGUGAAAAAGCCAGUAGUUUAUGAGUGGAAUCAAAUUACUAUAAGUCCUGUUCGAGUGAAGUUCUAGUCUUCAUCCCGAGUUUCAUCAGUUAUCAUAGUUGCUCGUCUUAUUCUGCCCUUAACCCUUUCUACUUUACCGACGCAGUUGCUAAUUCUGUCUGACAUUCUUUAUACGAUUUAACUCGAACAGAAACUUGAUUAGCUGAGGAAGGAAUUGAUUCUUCGCUGAACCUUAAUCCGAUGAAACAAGAACCGGAACUGUCCGAGCUACUGACUUGCGUAUGCGAGGUGGAUUCUUGGAUUUCGCCGUGGCUUCUUCUGCAACUGAUCUUUGAACAGCGGCUUCGGGUAACUCCACUUAGCGCAGAUCCAUCCUAUGAUUAAGAUUACAACACUUCUCCAGCACACCCACCACUUUGAUCUUAUUUGCCUGUAGCGAGUAUAGGGGUUUUAGACUCUUAUUACUCUUAUAAUUACCGAGUUCUAUACUUGACUCCCUUAGCUUCUUCUUAUACUGUUCCGUGACUUGAUACUGCAGCAGACCCAGCUUUAGCCUCAGAUCCAGCAACGAAUGUAAGGCUCUUCAAAAGGGUUCAAGUUGGUGUUGCGGUAAAAGGAAUCAUAAGUAUUUUACAAAAAACAGAGAAUAGCUAACAGGUGUUGACGACAGAAUGCUUCGGUGGCUUUAGCUAAUACAACGAAAGCAAGUAGGGAUUACGACAGCAAGUGCACCUCAGAGGGAGCAGAAUCCGCUUCAGAGUGCGUCGGGGAUGAUAGGCUUAUCGUGGAUUAUAGAGUAUGCGAGUGCCCGUGGUAUUAUAUAGUGCUUAAUCUUACGGGAUAAAGAGGCAAGGCCCAGAGUGACUACUCGGCAAAGAGACUAUCGAAUCAAAUAGGGAAAUCCGCUAUCGUGUCUUCUUUAUCUCGUAUAAAAACAACACAGGACUUUAGGUUUUGGUUGGGAUGGGAAAAAGCAGCGAAAGAGAAGCAAGGGUAUACUAGCUCCCGAAGCUUACUAUAUUCCCAAUCGAGCGCGAGAGGUGAAGGAGCCGUUACGUUAGAUGAGGUCUCCCACUCUCACAACGCGGGAGAAGGCCAAGCUACUUGACUAUAGUGUCAGAUAGUUCUUUUUUCUUUCAUAGAGUCCUCUAGGAAUGAGUGAAACUGCUACAGCUUGCCCGAGCCGAGUCCGUGCUCUUUCAGUAGUCUUGUUCCAUAUCACCUUUCUGCCUUCCUUCCCUUCGAUCGAUCUUAUGUGAUGUUAGUUCACAACGCGGGAGGGAGUAACGGGGUCCUCCUUAUAAGGCGGAUCUCAUUGGCUUAAUUGUAGCAUUGCGUGGGGGCUGGCAAUCUCUUAUUCUUCUAGUUGGCAGUUUACAGACCAAUCUAAGGAUCCUAUAAUAGGCGAAGCAAACCCUCCUUUAUUAUUCUAUCUCGUGCUCUCUAUCCAUUGGGUCUUUUCAUCAUAGCUAUAGAGGGAAGGCGAAGGCAGGCAUCAUCAUAGAUCGGAGAAAGUGGAUCCAGUGCUACCUUUAUGCCCUUUAUUAACAAAUAGUCUCUCCCUUUACGGAAUCCCCAGUGCUUUGUUUGUCAAUCCCUUUCUUGCCCCAACACAGGGUAGAGAUAAGCCAAUUAGCCCUUCUUUUCUUUCCGCGGGGUGCAUUCCCUUAUGGACGAAAGAUUGGAUUCUCUUAGCGCGCUGUACAUUAUGUCUAUAAUAUUAGGGAAUUAUGGUUUCUUUCCAUCUAUAGAGCUUACUCUCCUCCUUUCUGUCUUUCCAUCUAUAGAGCUUACUCUCCUCCUUUCUGUCUUUCAUCCAACUAUCUAAACCUGGAAGCGGUUAGUAAUAAUGCGCGUAUCCUUUGAGAGAAGCGACUCCUGCAUGGCUAGCUUGCCCGAUGGAUAACUCAGAAGCACGAAGGGUAUGCUUAUGUAGUUAGCUAUUACCCCUAAUCCCUUACCAACCCAAGGCAAUCAGGCUUACUUAAUAGCAUAGAGGAACAGAGGACAAAGCCAAUUCGAGGACCCCUCCUCUCCUUACAAUCCAACUUGAUAGAAAGGGUUUAGGUUAAUGAUAUCCUGGGAAGGCAGAUUCGAUCAAGGGAGAAAGCGGUGACAGGGCCUUGUGUAAUGGCAAAGGGAUGACAGUCGUAGGGAUAAGAUGCCUCGUUUGCCGUUCUAUGCGCUAAUGAAAGGGUCAAGUCCAUUCCAUUCCCUUUAUUCAAAAGGAUAGAAGCAUUCCCUUUAUUCAAAAGGAUAGAAGGAUAGAAGGAUAGGUUGAACUCGUCGAGGUAGAAGCCGUGUAGACCUUAGCGCAUUUGCUCAAGAUCUUAUUGCGGAAUUGCAGCCCCCACCACAUAAAAGAAAGUCAAAGAUCCAAUCGCCGCUCCUUUAUUGCUUAGUUCGCCGGUCACAUCUCUUAGUGGUACUGCUCUAGCUUGGAGUUUUACCAAGAGGCGUUACCUACAGGGCAAUGGGGUCUGGUCUAUCUAGUGAUUCGUGAGCCCUUGGGCAUUCCCCCGACCAAUACUCUAUUAUUCUAUUAUCCAAUACUAUACCGACCAAUGCUCUAUUUUUCUAUUAUCCAAUACUCUAUUAUUCGAUUAUAUAGAAUCACACUCUUCUCUUUCUUAGAUCCCUUCGUCUCAAUUCGAUAACGAAGUAAGCUCCUAUGAAGCAAGAAGCCAAGCCGGAAUAAGCCCUGGAUUUUGGACACCUCUCCCUUUCUUUAGUUGAGCCCUAUGGUUGAAUGAGGGGAACAUCAAUGCGAGCAUGUUGUCGCACCCCCUAAACUAUUAAGACAGGGCCUUGACAUCAUCUGAGCUCGGGUUUUCCUUGUUCUAACAAAAUGGGUAAGCUUUGUCCCUAGUGAAAUCCUAUUGUUGAGCGCUAUAGCCUUAAACCUCGUGCUCUAAGGAUCUUUAUAGAUAGCUCUAUAAGGGAUGUCAAGACAGCGAAAGAAGCGGCGCUAUUACAAUUAUAGGGACGUGGAAGAUCAAUCCUAGAAUUAGAUGAAAGAAAGCUUACCUAUGAGAAUGAGUAUUUUGAUUACCUUACUUGGCUUAUAUAGAACAAAAGAGUUGGAUCCAUUGAUAACCGUAGGGGGAGAGAGAAAGUGUAAGUUAACCUUCUUCCAUCAAAAAACAAACCCGAUGUAUUGAGCCUGAUCAACGACGGAGUGAGAUAGGCUUGGUAAAUAAUAGGAGAGAAAAUCCAUUGAUCAGCACGAGACUAAGUAUGAAGAGAAAGGGAAGAAGAUCUAUAAAGGGGAUAAUCCAUUCAGCACGGGGCUGGAUCUAACUAUCUUUACUUAUAGAACAUCAGAGAGGGCGGGCGUUCUCGUCAAUUCUAGCUACUAUGGCACCCGCAUGAUCAAAGCGCAUUACAUUAGGCGCUAUACUCACCUCAAACCGAUCAAGAUGCCCUGAAUCGAAGGAGGAAGGCCAACACAAAGGCAGUAUGAUCCUAUUCCACCCUUCGUUGAUCGCUUCUAUGGGGCUGAUUCGUCAAGCUGGGCCCUCCGGAAUCCUUCUUUCCUUAUAAAGCAAAGGGAGCAAAAGGCAGAAAGCAAAGACUCACUUGACUAUUAUAUUAGGAUUAGGACGAGAUGCUAUUAAGCUUGUUCGAAAAGGGUGUUUACUCGUCUUCAAUCAGUGCCAUUGAAAGAUAGGGCUCGUGUGUGAUCCAAGAAUCAAGCCUAAAGAAGACAACAAGGGCUCUUGCGAUAAGGGGGACUCAGGAGUUUCAGGCUUGGUAUACUAUAUUCCAGUUUCUUAUGAUAGUUGUCUUUGCAUUGCUUGGCUCGCUUAGCAGCACGACGCUUGUUUUGCUCUCCCACCUUAUCUUAUGUCGCAGCAACCAGCUACCUCUUGCAACCUUCCACCAUCUGUUGAUUCAUUCCUCCUAAGAACCAAAUGUCCCUUUACUAGUGUGGCUAAGCCAAGCUCACUAGGCGGAUCGUACGCCCUGGUGUAUAUCCCGGAGUACUCCUAUAGCCGAUCUGUCACCGGAGGGUUAGUAAUUAAUCAAUCAAUAGGGAGGGGUUGCAAAGGCAAAGGAGGAAAGAAGCCAGCUCGAGCCUUUCACGUUCACUGUCAAAGGAAGGGGCAAAAGACAGAAAUCAAGACUCAUACUUCAUUUCAAAGACUAUGACUUCAUUUCAUCUAUGAUAUUAGUAUUGCUACUCCGUGCUAAGGUAUAUGGUAAGGAAAGCAUAUAAUUCGCAAGACAACAUACUUCUCCUACACACUGGCAGUCCACAGCUAAGCACUAGGUGCCGUGCCCAUAUGCUAGUUUCAACCAAUCUUCUCGUUGAUGGGCAUUCUCCAGUAUAUGAUCCUAUAGCGUAGAUGACACUGAUUCACUUAUUCAGAAAGAAGGCCGAGAAGUCAAGCCAAUCUUGCAAUAAGAGUCGUUUCACGUGGGUUAUACUCUGCUAAUGACUAAUCGACCCCGACAAUAAAUAGCUCCGUGACUUUCCGGCUCACUAACCACUAACGCUUACUUUACUAGGUGCGCCUCAAUCAAUUCUUAGUUCGGUUUCCCACUUGCAGCUGCACUUAUCAGAAAUACUUCCUUCUUUUCAUCAACAUUCCAUUCUUCAGGUUCACAGUAUGGUUCUCAUUUUCUAUACUAACCCAAUGAAAGAAACAAUACUUUCUUCUGAGUUUUGGGGUAAACAAUACUUUCUUCUGAGUUUUGUUGGGUAUUUACAAGUUUGUAUGCCAGGCACAAAGACUCCUAAAUCCAUCCCGAGCUUUUUAUUCAACCUAGCCUCUCCACAACAAGAUGGACUUCACCUAGGAUGAGAAUGGCCUUAUUGACUUGACUUGCCCUGUCUUCGUUCCAGUGGAGUAGCGGAAAGAGAGAUCGAUAUGUGAGGGACCCAACCCCUACGAUUCGAGACGGAAUUGCCUUCUAAAGGGCGGAGGUUUGCUUGAAUUCCCUUUGUCCCUUAACAGCUGACGGGAAAGAUUGGAGUUUCGUUUAGUAUGAGCCAAUGGGAGUUUCCUUCCAGCGAGUGCAGUGGUAAAAGCUGGUCCAAUGAGCUAGUUCUUUCGAAAGGGCAUUAGCACUCUCAAAGAAUAACCUAUCUACAUCUUUUCCUCAUAAGAGCUAUAUUCGCAUUCGCGCCUCACUCAUCGAAGGCUUUCGGGAUCAAUAUUCUAUAUAUUAGUGGUUUUGAAUAGCCCUCUUCCCAGUUGGUACCAAUUAGCGUGAUGGGCCCUACUUACUCUUUCUCUUCUAUAUUUUCUGAAUCCUGAUUUUCCUGAGCUCUUUGAAUGGCAGAUGCGCAGUGGGGGCAGCUAAUCUCGUAGAGACAGGAGAUAUUUAAGGAGGCUUCCCCGCCCUAACAUGAGAAGUUCACCUCACAAGAACCGACCUAAUACUCAACACUUGCUUUCCGCCGUGAUUGGACUAGGCUUCAAUUAUUCCCUUUCCUUGGACAAAGAACUAGAUGGUAAAUAAGGUGCUGACAAAGAACUAGAUGGUAAAUAAGGUGCUAGAACUAGACGGUCAAGAAGGAUUCCCACUCAAUCAAAUAUCCAUCAGCAUUUUACCUUUCUCAAUGGCUUUUCUUUCUCAUAAGGCUUGAGACUGCUUUUCUUUCUAAUAAGGCUUUCUGCAUGAAUGGAAUCUGAAAGGAAUGGUUACGUAGGCUUUACUGUAGAAAGGAAUGUUACGUAGGCUUCCAAGGCUCUAUUCAUAGAAUCUUGCUUGCUCUUGAAUGUUACGUAGGCUUCCAAGGCUCUAUUCAUAGAAUCUUGCUUUGGAGAUCUUUAUUCCAGUGUAGGUCUUCAAAUCAUACUUUUCUUAUUCUAUUUUGAGGAUGGACAAAACAAGGUAAGAAUGAAAAAAGCUAUUGACUAAGGAGAAUAGGUGUUAUAGUAAUUAGAAAAAGCUAUUGACUAAGGAGAAUAGGUAAUGUCAUAGUAAUUCAUUCAAAAAACAGUCUUUCUGGAUUGAUUUAGUCCUUGACUCGCUUUCUCGGCUGGCUUGACGAGUUACUAUCUUUACCUGGCUAGCUAAUCUCAAUAAGUAUGACAUAUCCCUUAUUUACCUGGCAGGCUAGGCUCUCUUACUCUUCCACUGUUACAUGAGUCCUGGCAGGCUCUCUUCUUCUUCCACUGCUACAUGAGUUCAUACCUUCCUUUUCUGAUUCUGCAUAUAUAUAAUGGAAUCCAUAUAAUGGAGUAGAUCCUAAUGAUUCACAAGCCAUUCCAUUCUAGUUUGAACCCUCGAGUCAGUAGAUAGCUUGAUAAGAGUGAAAGCAUCAUCUUAGAAAGUCAGAAUCCGGCUUGAUCUCGUCCCUUCAAUGUCCCCUGGUAGGCUAAACCGGAAAGAGAGAGCAGUCGUGUCACCUUAAAGCUCUAAGUAAAAGAAGUAAAGCUGCAACGCGACUCUACUAAUAAGAUAGAAAGAGCUACUAAGAUAGAAAUAAGAUAGAAAGAGCUACCUCCCCCCCCCCUCGGUGAACUUUCCUUUUAAAGAAAUCCAGAAGUGCAUCCAACCCUGUGACAGCAAGUAAUCUUUCCAUGAGAUCCUGGAGCGUGCCGCUGACUUUUAAGGAUUGAACUCGGGCAAGCAACGGCUACUAGCAGAAUCGAACUAGAAACAGGGAAUUCCACUAAGAAGUCUAAGGGCUCUCCCCCGAGCAGAAGAAUGGAACUGGAUAAACUCGAAUAGAACCCCAGCUAACAAGAAGAAAGCACCACUCCGAUGAGUUGAACCCGCUACCCCUUGACUCCUUGAUGUAACUCCGCCUUUACUGGAUCUAAAGCUACCUCGCCUGUAUUGAAAACUGUAUCCAUGCUUUCUAGAGCCCACUACUGACUGGCAUUCCUGGCUAUUGGUCUCUGUAUUACUAUAACCCAGGCCUUAUUGCCUUACUUUCAAACUGACACCACCACCCUUGCUUUUUGCAUUUCACUUUUGAUUCUUGUAAUGCCGAUCUGGAUCCUUAACUGGAAUUGGAUUGAACUAAUUAUCCCCCCCGACUAUUGGAACGAUACCACUUACUUAUUAUACCGAUGCUAGAAACAAGGGUCGAUGUAAUUGAGCUAAUGCUAAUAAGGCUGUAGCUCGGAACCAGGGCUUUCACUACAAACUCAAAGAAUCGAAAUGGGGCUUAUCAGAUGGAACUACUCCGGACAACCCUACUACUAUAGAAUGGAAUUACUAACUAUAAGAUUGAAAACACUAUGAAGAAGAGUUGACUACCCACUCCGAUAGAAUAGACCCUAGGCCGGCAAUACCUUAACUCGAAACCAAGCCUUCUCUUACUUACACUUUCAAAGCUGCUCUUCCUUACCUGAAUUCUGUAAUUCACCUGUUCGUUCUUGCUUCAAUUCUUUACAUCGCGAAAUCGGUACCCUUAUCCCCAGUUCCAAGUUCGAUUUGGAGCCUUCCCUUACUAACUAUAAGAUUUCUCUUACUUACUUCUUAUCUUAUUCUUUAACCGGUGCCCUUCAAGACUAAGUUCUUUGACUUCGAUUCUGAAAAUCAUUACUAUAGGUCCGUAGCUACUGAUCUCGACACCCUAUAUGUUGAUGCCACCAAGUCCUAAAAAAACACAGGGAAUCGAGCGACUAUGGACAGGGCUUACUUUCCUUUCUAUAACUACUGAAUUCAAUACAGAAUCUUCUAAAUAAAUAAACUAGUGCUUUUGCUUCUUUAGCAGCUGAGCCGUAUAUUUUCAUCAAUGCCAACAGGAUUCCUAUCGACCUACUGACAACAAGAGUAGAACCCGAGCUACCAAUACCUAUGCUCUAAACUACUCACUCUUCCCCUACUGGCUAACAGCCUUACUAUCAUUACCUUUAUUCUUUCACCCAUCGGCUGCUGACGCUGCCCUUGCAUUACUACCUACGAGCCCAGCCUUAACUAUAAGUCUACAGCUAACGGGCUUAAAGUCUAUUUCUCCUAGCAGUUCGAUCCUUGUUAGUAACAGUUCCAUUCCUUAGUGUGUGUAAGGCAUUUCAUUCUUAGUGUCUACCCCGAUAUACCUUACGCCCUUCUUUGAUCCUAGUACCAUCGACUCGGAUCCUCAAACUUAUAGCUCUAAGCCACCAAGGAACCACUACUGAUGAGAAUUCCGCUAGUGUCUCCAAGGCUGCCGCUACCUUUUCGAAUUCUUCCAAUCAAUACCUUUUUUCUUCAACUGAUUACUUAGAAGCUUACAUCCAUCCUAGAAUGAGCAAUGAGCAAGCAAUACGGGUCUCAAGAACAAAAUACAGGUAUGCUAGGAAGGAGUAGAGAAUGAAUAUAAGUCAACGGAAUACCGAAUCGAAGAGUCAAACAAGUAAUUAUAAGACUCAUCUGUGGGGGCAUAGGCUUCUACCAAUCCGUGAUACCCACCAAGAGCAACUACUCUUGGGUACCCGGGGGCAAGAAAGAAAUCCUCUGCUUCAGCUUAUGCGCCAAGAUCCUAUGUUUCUGCGCUUACGGGCAGUUCAAUUUAUAGAGAAAUUAGGAAUGACUAUCCCUAUCUUAUUAUAUGACAUGCGCCCGAAAGCUGAAAGAAAGAAGUCUUUGACUGAAGACUCAAAUGCCACUGUCUUGAUAGCGCGGGUAAUGUUGACUGACAAAUCCAAGAGUGAAAUCUCUAUAGAACGAAAGGGGGUAAGUAUAGAAUUUAGUUAGAGGAGAGCACACUCCAAAGCUUUCAAAGGAAUCAUAGCGCAAGCAAGUCAGCUGCAGAAAGGACGGUUUGAGUUUCAUCGACGAGAAGGCUGGAUCAGAGCUUUCUCUUUGCUUUAACCAAGUAAUAGAGUUUGGGUGCUCAGUAAACAUCAUUCGUAGAUGUAUUGGUGCUAACCUACCUACUCUAUUGGAAUACAACCACCGCGAACUCUAAAUUUCACCACUCUACCUGGAAAGGGUGAAUCCUUAGCUCGAGUACUUGCCUACUUGUCCGUUCUUCUACUAUUGAGCCUCUACUAUGGAGUUUUCUUCUUGACUCUUAUUGUUAGUAUGGGUAUGCUUACCGGGGGCGCUCCCCUCGUCUUCUAUCUAAUCAUCUAAUACUGUCUAAGUCAGUAGUUGUCGCUUUAAAGCAAGGGGCGUAAGAGGGCAAGUUCGAUUUCAUAACAGUAAGGGCAGGCCGAGGGCUUGGGGGAAGCCAUUAGAUUUAGAUUAAGGUGCUGAAAGCCUAAAGCAAGGGAGUGAGCUUCUCUAUCUCGAGUUCGAGUCUUGCUGGGCGGGUGACGAAUCUUUAUUUCGAGGUUGGUUCCCAGUGGGUCCACACAAAGAUAGUCGUUAUGGGCACUGUGUCGAGGGCAUAGUCUGUUAGGUCGCUGCUCGAUUCCUGUUCUCGGUGUACGAACUCAAUUCUAACUGUUGAGUUGGAUUCCCAUAUAUCGACUAGGGAUGCGCUACACCUUACUCCGAACACACUGCCGCUCCACUCUUUUCCUUACUCAUUUGUUUUUUAGUCAAUGCUUGACCCUUGUCUUCUGAACUCAAUGCUUUACUGAGUACUAUUAAGUAUGAAAAGAAACUCCACCCACGACUUUUCAACUUAUACACAAGCACAGGCAAUAACCUAUCUCACAGACUAUGCUCGAACAGAACGGAACCCUACUUUACUUACCGUCCCGCCUCGUCGCUUACUUUAGCUUCUUCUCUAGCUUAUGAUCUCGUUGACAGAACUCCACUUUCAUCUCCGAAACUAUCUUCCCGUGUAAGUGUAAGUAAUAAAGAAGAAGAUUUCACUGAUUGAACUGAAAUUCUAUACAAUGAAAUAAUGAAAGGGAUAUACCCACACACCCUCUGUUCUUGUGCAGAGUAUACCAGUAACUCCUCUGCACCUAGGAAAACAUCAAUGGAACAAUUUCACUUUCACAACUGUUCUAUAUAUGAGUUAGAAUUGAGCAGCUCAUCUCACAAACAGGGCCAAGCAAGCCAGCCCAGUUGUGGUUUCAUUCUUUGACUCGGGUAGGCAGGUUGACUUACUUGUUUUCUUCCAAUACGAGGGCAGGGGGAAUCUCACUUGUUUAUAGAAGUCUGACAUGCCCUUAUUGAUCUAACUAAAGUAGUCUUCUAAUAAGGAAUGCCAGGCCCAGAGCUCUUAGUUGAGGAGUUAGAGUCGGGAAUGGUCUUGUUUACAUUGAUUGAAGUCCUAGAAGCAUUAUAAGCUAUUGGUUCAAUAAAGUAGUAGAGACAUCCGUUCUAUUCUAAUGGUUACUUAACGCAUCUCUGCACGGUAGGUAUAUUCUGUAUUCUUUGGAUUCUUGCUAUUACUAGUUCAAAGCUAGCUGAUCUGAGACUAACUACUCUGCUCCUGUAUUCCAGAUCGAAGUAUUACACUGAGCCCGCAUAACCCAUAUUCUUAUUUACCAUUUCUUUUGUGCCCCAAUACAUAGUAGCUGAUUUCUCUUCUUUGUAUCGGCGAUUCCAUUCUUGUAUUCCUCGUUUCGAUUCUUGUUAGUAAUGGUCACAGCCCCUAUGCCUAGCUGUUUCAUUACGAGAAGCCCUAAGUGAAAGCAUGAAAGCAGGAAUUGGAAGAAUUAGAUAAAGUCAGGACAGGCUGUUAUCAAGGGGGUUGUAGUUAUCAAUACAAUAACAGAGCAGAAGAGAGUUUCCUAAGUGCCAAUGAGAUUCUAUUCUCUUAUAAUGCAAAAUGAGAAAAGAAAGAUCAUGAUAUAUAUCAAUACAUAUCAAUACAAGUAGAAUAAGAAAAUAGUAGUGAAAAGAAUACCGGAAGUCGGGCUCAAAAGCAACGAGUCUUUCGUCUAAAGGUUGGAGCAAAACACUUGUGGCCCCACCGUUUAAGCUCUGGGUCGAUCAUUUUAUAGACUUGAAAAAAACACCCUCCGCUCUUUUAUUCUCUUUUCCCAUUGUGCUCAGCCUCCUGCGCCCGGUGCUUCGGUUCUUGUAAAAUAUCUCGGGUCGGGAGCAUCAGUAAAUUGCUUUUUCUUUUCUUGUAGGUCCGGCCCAAUUCAAAUAACACCUAAGGAUCCGACCGGCUUCAGGAAGAGGCACCCCACACCCCUAAAUAAAGGCUUCUAUGCUUUACGUCAUUAAUAAGAUCCAUUCUUGGCCAUAGAUAUGCGCUUUUACAUAUCGUUAUUGAAAGAGUGGGUCUCAAUUCAGAAAUUCGUGCUCCACUAAUAGAAGCGAAAUGAAACCCCACACACAAACAUUUGGAUUUGGAUCCUAAAGCGGAAAGGAAAGGGGCGAUUCAUGGAGAAAGCCUUAUGUCCGCGCUAUUGCCCUGCUUGUUCGCCUAUACUUCACUCUGGAAUCUAUCUCAGAAAGCCUUAUGCCCGCACUAUUGCCCUGCUUGUCUAUACUCUGGAAUCUAGCCUUAUGUCCGCACUAUUGCCCUGCUUGUCUAUACUCUGGAAUCUAUCUCGUGGUUUUCUUUUGCUUUUCCAAUCCUAUCAGGCUUGUGUUACGAUCUAUAUCACUAGAUGGGACUUCCUUUCUCAAGUGCUUCUCCCCUUUUCUGCCUUUCUUUCUCAUAAGAUAUAACAUUCUUGCUCCUAAGGGGUCUUAUUACAUUCUUUCUCAUAAGGUCUGAAUGACUAGUUUAUACGAUACAAAUCAAAUUGGAGUUUGGGCCGUGCCCGGGCAGAUUCCUCCUUUUCUUUUGGUGCUCUCUAGUUUAUGGAGAUUCCUCCUUUUCUUUUGGUGCUCUCUAGUUUAUGGAAAAGUCAAACUCAACUGGAAAGAGGCAAGCGCAAACCUGUUGUGAAAAUAUGAGAAUAAGAAGUUAUACCCUAAUCCUUAGGGAGGAAGCGUGUGUGGGCAUCAUACCAGACCAAAACCCAAUGGAAUGCUCGGCUAUCUUAUUGAUUCUGACUAUUUGGGGAAUGAUUCCAAAAAGAAGGAAGAGGAACCCUAUCUUUACCUUUUCGAGGCGGGCAAAGGAAAGCAGAAGCGGAUGCAGAUCCGUGUGAUGAAAUCCAGAAACUAGUUAUCCAAUCAUCAAUCAAAUGAUAUCAUCUUUUAUCUGUGGAAUGGAAUUCAUCCUUUGUUAGUACCCGCCCGCCCUCCGAAGUGCAUUUCCUGUGUAAGGUAAGAUCCAGCUUGCCAAACUAUAGAGAAGCACCAUUAGAUAAGUUGAUACUUCGUCCUUUUUUGUUCAGGCUAUUCUCAUAGAACUGUGAUACAUUGAAUAUUAGUUAAUAACAACACUGACCCGAACUCUAUAAAUACUAUUUGGUGACGAAAGAGAAUCCAGUCAAAUAGAGAGUAUAUAAGUCAGUCCAGUCCAGGUCCAGUCCAGAAGAAACUCAAGUCUAAGAAAACGGGGAUUAUUGGUACAGAACAUAGUCAAUCGUAGUUACAGCACUUGAUAGCAGAUACUUUACUUACAGCUUUAGCAUUUGAGUAGUAUGGGCCAGUGUGCAGCUUAUGGGACAUAUUCAGUAAUAGGGUAUGCAGUAAUAGGGUAAUAAACCUGUUUCAAGCCUUUAUUUCACCCGAAGACCCAAUAUCAUAUUUGUAAAGGUACUGAACUGAGAAUGAUAGACCUAUGAUAUGAGGAGAAUGAGAGACAUAUGAUAUGAGUUAAUAACAGAACCAGACUCCUGACUGCUGACUCUAUCCUGUCAUAUGAGAUUGAUAUGCCUGUCAUAUGAGAUUGAUAUGCGGACCGGACCUCUCUAUUACUAUUAUAUUCCUUGCUUGAGUGAUGGUAGUCAGAGACUCGCUAGUAAUACCUUUCAUCUUUAUAGAUUGAUAGCAUUCUAUCUAUAGACAUAUAAGAUUCUUCGAAGCAUGAACUAUCAGCAAGAGAGGCUAGCGAAUAAGUAAGUAGGAAAAGAUCUUCUUAGCGCUAAGAUCUGUUGUUCCUGGUAGACUCUGCGCAAGUGAAAUAACGAGUUUGACAAGGCGCCAACACAACAAGACUAAAUGGCGUUAGGAAGGGGCUCCUCAAUUCGAACAUUAUAUACAAAAGAUAGGGCCGCUAGUGUUCGCUGAAUGAAACGCCUUACCUUAACCUUAAUGCUUGGACCACUACAUUAAGGGGCAAUAACUAUACUUUAUGAACAGACCUCGAACAGGAAAGCAACUAAGACUAUGUAUUCAAUUCCAGUCUGGUCUGCUUGGCGGGAUGAAACUAUCACUUUUUGAGUAGUAACUUGGCCGUCUUACUUAGUAGCUUGGCCUGGUGUUGUCGUCUUGUCUACUUUCCAGCUUGUCUCUUCAAGAUGUGAGUAAGCAGUUCGCCCAGUUCCACUUGGUGGGAUCCUAUUAAGAAUAAGAGAUAUCUUUAAGCCGAAGAAGCCAUAAAGAAGGGAGUUUAGUAAAGAAAUGAUAGGUAAUCAGAAUAACUUAGAUGCAAUGUGCACUAGAUGCAGAAUCUUAAGGAAUUGUGGGGUUACUUUUUGACUUGAAAUAGAAAGAUACAGAUAGAGCAGCAGGAUUAGGUGAGGAAUCAGGAGCAAGAUCUGGCUGGAUAAAAAUACUUAUAUGAAGCAACUGUUCUUGUUUCAUCCACAAACUAGCAACUACGAUAGGCCAAAAGGAAUGUUUUGAACUAGUAUAUGUUUCAUUAUUGACUAUCCAAGAAAGGUUCUCUAUCUCCCGAAACAGGACAAGUAGCGGCAUACGACCAAGCUGCUUGUAUAUAAGGGAAAGUCACUACGGCAGCAAGGCAAGCUUAGGGAUGAGCCCGGGCGGAAACUAGUGCUUCUAAUACGAUAACUAGGGACUUGGGAGCCAACUACUACUUAUAAAUAUUCAUAUGAUAACUCCGCUAUACCCUUCUUUAAUACUAUUGAUCCUAGCACUGGCUUUCACACUUUUGGUAUCAUUUCCUUCCUUCCUAUUCUGUCUUAAGUAUAUAGUAACAGUCUACAGCAAGUCAAGUUUUCGGGACAAUGAGUUUUCAUCCUAUUUCUCAACUGCUGAGGUGAAGUAUAAAGUCACAGGGGUGUGGUAGGGCAUACGCAGAGGAGAGAAACUAGUAUACGCUUGGCCCGGGAUUCCAAAAGAAAGAGAGGGCACAAUCCGAGCAUGCAACAUAAGAUAGGUAGGCCCCCAUUCAUAUUAUUUAGGAAAAAGUGUUUCCGGUGGUACCACGUAUUUGACUUUAUGGGAAGGCUUAAUGGCUUGCUGAAAUGAAGCAAUUACACUGUAGCUGCCAAAGGAGACAGCAGCCCGUGCCGGAAGUUCCCUCGUGAGGAAAAGGAGGAGCGUGGGGAUUCUAGUUUCCCCUCAUCCCAUGACGAAGUGCGGAGAUCUUUUCUUUGUAAGGAAAGUGUUUUACUUAUACUGGAAGUCAGGACGUUCACUGCGCUUUAUUUAAAGCAGUGUGCUGCCUGUCUACAACAAAACGGUGAUGUUGUAGAUAGUACCCAGAUGUCUCCUUAUGUGUCGCUCACCCGGUCAAGGGCUUCCUCGGAUUAUUCCAUCUUUCCAUAGAAGGUUGAUAAAGGAUGGAGUAAGACCCAGGCCAAGCUACAACUAUAGUUUCUGUAAGCAGUUAACUACUAUAGUUUCAGUAAGCAGUUAUAUUAGCAGCGGAGUUUCAUUCUUACUUUACUACUUGAGAGAAAGAACUGAGUACUAGGCGAAGUGUUACCGAGAAGUUGGGACAGAAAGUCAGAAAUGAGAAGCAAAGCAGUAAGUAAGUAAGGAAAGAGUCAGGAGUGAACAAGCAAUGCUCUGUUUUUAGUAACAAUUAUAUAUGAGGAACCCGCUACGUGCAACUCAAAAGUCACUCCACAGCUCUUACUAUAAUUAGAAUAUGUGUUUGUUUGGCAAUGAGAAUAUGAGUUUGGCCGGGAAAAGCGUAACCUCCGCGUACGAACGGUAGCUAUUUCUAUAAGAACAAAGGGAGUAAGUAAUAGAGUUUGGGAGCUCGCUACUGCGAGUUAUUAGCGCUGUAGUGACUUCUUUGCCUUAUUGCCCGGCGCCAAAGGAUAAGUAAGCUUAGGGCACCUGCUCCAUGCCAGUAACCACACCUUUAAUGGAAUUGAAUGCACCACACAUCACUUAUAGAGGAGAGUCACUUCAUAACUAAACACCGAAACGUUAGCACCCUUUAGGUGAAUUUAUGCAGAACUAUAAAGGGCCCCUCCCCUAUACUAAGCAUUAAAGAACUUAGUUUAAAUGAGAUGAGAGUAAUAAGCAAGUGAGUUUGAAAGGCGAGUUUCUAUUCCGCCGUGGACAUAGUGGAAAAGGACAGUUUGUUUCCGAGGAUAUGAGUGAGUUUUCAAAGACUGUUGGAGAGUUUCAAUGAUAGAUGUUACAUUAGCUAUGUAUAGGUGUUACUUAGAGAACUAUUAAGUGAAAGCCUGAACCGGUACGAGUUGUUGACAGUUCAAUUGAGCUAGCGAAGGACGAAAACUGGAAUAGCUUCAUUAAGACCUCUCUUGCUUCAUUAAGACCUCUGGCUCCGCCAAGCAACUAAAGCCCUUAACCAUUAAUAAGUCUGGGCCAGUAGGAAAGUCCAAAGUCAUAAUGCUCUUGCAACUCUCUACCUAUAUCCUUUACUUGGUUACCAGAAGAAUCCAUCAUACCUAUAGCGGGGAACUUUCAUGAUUCUGUUUCUUCUACAGCUUCUACUACUUCAACAGCCAUAAAUACUCGCCUUAGACACAAGCAAACUUUCACCUUCACCUCUAUUGGAAACAGGAAUAUAUCUUUGCGCCGAAGCAGCAUCGUAUCGGGAGUGGGAUAUCUUCAGUAGGUCAAGAAUUGGGAGUUGGAGCAGUAAGUAGGAAAAAGCGGAAUAAUAGUAUACAAGCGCAAGGCAAGAGAUGAGAUCAAAGAAAAAGAAUACUUUCCAAAGUCUAGUAUAGAUAAGGAAGGGGUUAUCUUAACUGAUUCUAUAACAUGUGCUCAAUAAGAAAUGAAAGUAUAAGUCGAGGUCGGUUCUAGUUUCAUCGUUCGGUUAAGAAAGAAAGGAACCAUUCACUAUAGAACUCAACCAGCACUAACAGGAAUGGGACCAGAGAAUGCAAGAAUAACCCUAGUGCUUAUAAGCCUUCUACUCCACCCAGAUUCCGUCCUUUGUUUGUGUUGUGCGGCAGGAGCCCCUGGUCAUUCAAGUAAUGUCAACAAGUGCUUCUACUAGUUUUGGAACUGGGCAUUGAAGAAAGUCUUCUGAUAAUGUAGCUACUACCGCUAAGGCAGCACCUAGGAACUACGAAACAAGCACCCCUACUAGUUUCAUUGAACCAAUACCUAUGUAACUUGGCGAGCUCUCAACAGUGCAAUAAGAUACUUUAUCUUGAAACAAAGAAUCAGAACCCCGAUAGAGUUGAACUGAACCAUUACUAGCAUCGGCUGCAGCCCUAUCAGUAGUGGACGUCAACACCUGCUCUAUUCUUUAAAGCAGUAGUACUAGCUUUCAAACAAAUAGAGUCAGAAUGCUAGCAGGGCAGGGCAAGCUCAUAAGCCAGAAAGAGUUUAAGGGAUGUUAGUUUUAGAGCAAGGAGACCCGGAUCAUUGUUUUAAAGAAUAGAAGUAGGCCUCCCCCCAAGCCAAGCUAAUGGUGCAACUAACAAGAAAGGAGCUACUGCUAGCAAUACUGAAACUCGGAACCAUGGAUUCAACUAAAUACUAUGAGCCUUACACUACAGCAUUUCCAUUCCAUUCUUUAGCUCAGCUCUAGGCCCUGUACUUACUCGGUUCAGGCUUAUACUUGCGCCUUUCAGCCUGCUACACACCCAACGAAAGAAGGAAAAUACGGCCUCCUUUGCCGGUUUUGAAUUCUUGAACUAAUGAUUUAGAUCUUUACUUCCACAGAUCAGUAUACCGAUCCUUCCUUUCCAACUGAACUGACCUUCUUAUACUUCUGACUUGAGUUCUGAAAUAGCUUAUUCCGUCUUUUGGACAGAGAGCUCUAAGACUAAUAGAUACGGGUAUGGUGCUAACAGUAAUAUCCGUGGAAGGUGCCUACUACUAGUACAGAACCAGAGGAACCGAAACGGAGAAUAACGACUAGAAGACGGAAGUUCGAAAGUCAUAAUAAAAGAAAGGAAUGGAGGAAUGGGUUCUUCAGCAAACAAACCUAGUAGUGGUUCCCCAACUCGAAAGUCAAGAUGUUCUAUAAUAUACUAAUCCGAAUUGAACGACGACUAUACUACAAAAGGAAUCCAACAUCGACAUAACGAAUCGAACUGCAGCUAACGAGAAUGGAAUUAACAGCUGGGCAUUCAACCAUCGCUAACAGGGAAUUGAGCACUGCUAGCAGGAAUCCGACUACUGCUUCUAGGACUCUCGCUCAAAAGAGAUAGUUGCACCCCGGUAAUUAAGCCUACCGAGCUUAAACCCAAGUCUGUCUUUCCUCUCCUUUUGCCGAAAAAUCCAAUAAGUUAGAAUUGACUCACACCUGCAGAGAAAUCAAUCAUAAUAUAAGGUAUUAUCACGCGCAUAAGGUAGUAAUGGUAUACACAGAAUAGAAAGUAAUCAUAGUCUUAAUAGAAUCAUAAGACAUCAUUAGUAUUAAUAGAAUCCUAAGAAUAGGAGGUAAGGUAUUCAAAACUCAGAAUUGGAAGAAGAAGGGAAAGUCUCCAGUAGAAACAGAAGCAACAGAACAAUUAGAGUUCCCCGCUCGAAGUAAUAGAUAUGAUAUAUUGGUCACCAACUCCAUGGGCUCUUUCUCUCAACGCUUUCUCUCGCUGACGAAGAAAGGACUCGGUAAGGGCACCGAACUAUAAAACAUGAGUCGUUGCUUGUCCCAUUAACAGGCGCUAAAUUCCUUAGGUAAGAACGUGCCAUCCGAAAGAAAGUCUGACUUAGGAUGAAGUUCGCCUUGGGCAAGAAGAAUUCAAUGCUAUAGAUCGGGCCAUAAAGAUGAAAGCGCUAUAGUAUCAAUAGAAGGGCAUGGGGGGAAAGUCAGCAAAUAAUCCCCUGUUAGCUACAGUAGGUACCAACUCCUGUAUACCAAUAGGCUGCAGGCCCAGAAGGAACUGACAUAAAUAGCGUUCCUAUAGUAAGUAGUAAGGUGAGGUAGAUUUGCACUUCUUUAAGGUAGAUUUCCACUUCGAAAAAAGAGUCAUCCAAAAGUCAUAUAUAUCUGUCAGUGAACACAAACUAAGGAGUCAUAAAUAAGUCAUAUAUAUCUGUCAGUGAACACAAACUAAGGAGUUCACUCGCUCUACACCUUUGACACAAUUCCACCUUUGUAGUAUAAGCUAUUAUUCCCACCCCAAACUACUAAUUCAAUUACAUAUUGUUUGGCGUUAAAUGACGAAAUAGCUGAUUGACGGGCAUUUCCAUGGAGACCAGUCUGUCUUUUGGUGGAAAGCUAAAGCGGAACACUUACCAAACCUGUGAAAAGCCUUUACAUUUCCCGGUCAAAAUGGGCAUACUAUACCAGAAACCAUAUAACCCCACUUAGAAUCUAAUAGAAAGUAGAAAGAAAGGGAACCCCUAUAACCAAGGUUGACGUUAUCAGCGAAACCCCUCUCCACGGACCUCCUGUACAGGCUUGCCUGGCCUACUCUUGCACACAUAAGGGUUAAAGCCGUUUUCUCCACUCUGGACUCUCUGCGACGCUAACUCUUUCAGUUAACCGAUUGCCGAAUCGGAAAAAGGUUCAAGGACAAAUCCAAUACUUAUUGAGUUACCGCACUGCGUAAUAUAUUGAACGAAUUGAUUCUCUAACUACAGGAAACUACAAAAUCCAAGUAGCAAUAUACAAGCCUUUAUAGCUUACUAUCCAGAUUAUGUUAAAGUAACUGUACUUUUUGCGAUGAAAGGUAUGGGAUCUCAAGCAUAUAGCAGUGACAGCACCUGUAGACUGGAAUGGAACCACAUCGGCUACAGUAGCAACAAGCUAGGAGUAAUCUGGGACUCCUUUUGAGUAGUUAUCCGUUCUCGAUUCACAGCAGGAUUUAGGCUCUAUUUUCAUUCGUUCUGUUUUCUGAGAUUAACAUAGGAGUCAGUGCAGUAUACUUAGCGAGUCUAACUUCCGCUUGUAAACAUUCGAAUAGUCUAAUCUCUCUUUGUUGGUGAUACUUUCUGGAGCAGUUGGCUUAUUUCACGCUCUUAUAGCUAGCUUAGAGGCCUUUUACUUACAUGAUCGGCGUAGUCCCAUUGAAGGGAAGCGCCAUACCUUAGUUGCUCGUCAUUGUCGAAAUCUCUUUCAUUUGACAGAGAGAAGGCCGAACCCGGCUUAUACAUGAAAUCAAAGCUACGCCUGGUGUUCUAACAUCAUAAUCCGUUCUUCGAUAACAAGCGGAUACUUCAUUAGAUCUAAUCCUCUCCUACUCUUUCUUAGAGUAACACACCGGUGAAUGGCUAGCUCUGACAAACAAAUAUUCGAUGGCUUGGCGAAGACCACUUCUAAGUUCUAAUUGCGUUAGGAGACUACCAAGGUGAUGAAGUUACAAACCAACCAAUAAACAUCUUUCCUUCUUCGUUUUCCAACUAAAGUCACUCUGCGAUUGCUCUCAGUGGGUCUGUAUCUCGUCCUUGGAUCAUUGAUUCUGGAGCCUCUGAUCAUAUGACUGGGUCUUCCAAAUAUAACUCAUCUGACUUUCCUGCUUCAGGCAAGGGAAUAGCUGAUGGUUCCUUAUGCUCUGUAGCAUGGAAGGAAAGGGUCUGUUCCUUUUCCCCACUUCUAUCUUCUACUUUUCAUCUGUAUUCCAUGUUGCUAAUUUCCCUCUCAAUCUUCUGUCCAUUAGUUCCAUUAAUCCAAAUUGGAAUUGAAAAGCCCAACGAAUUCUUUCUUUCAGUAACUCUGAGGACGGGAAGAUGAUUGGCAAUGGUAGGGUAAAAGAGUGCAACUAUAUGCUCGAGGCAAACCUAAGUAAGUUAACUGAGUGAAGUAGUCAAAAAGAGCAUUGGAACUUAUUUAGUCAGAGGGGGUUCAAUGAUAUUAUUCAUAGAAAAGAAAGAAGGAAAGCACCCGGGCCGGGGUUCCUCUUAUCUUUGGAAGUCAAAACGGUUCCCAAGCCCAGAAAAGUCAAUUGACGAAACAAGGUGAGCAACUCUAGCCAUUGAUCCAGUUGGAGUGGUAAGACUCAUAAGGUCAAGCCCCCAAGUGGUAGUGCUUAAGGUCAAGCCCCUAAGUGGUAGUGCUUCGUUCCCCAAGCAAGUAAAGACAUAGUGAAAUGCACGAGUCAGUCUUCGUUUGUGAAGUGAGUCCUCUAAGUUGUCGCCGAAUUCUCUUUUCGCGGAGUUGAGUUGAGGUAUCAGACCCCAUCCAUGUAUGUCCUUGUUUCAUUUCCUCCAGUAGUGGUUACAUUCUUUCCAGCAGUUCUCCAGCCUUGUCAGCAGAUAAAUAAGAAUAAUGGAUAUAGUUCUGGAAUCAAAGGUGAUUUUAUAGGUAUAGUGGCCCGUUUGUAGGUAUAGUUCGGCAAGGUCAAAGGUCAGUUUAGAGGUAUAGUUCGGAAAUGACAAAUCAAAGAAUAGAAGUAGGGGUAGUAAGCCCAACAGUAAGUAACGCCAGGAGCAAGUCUAAGAACGAGGAGAGUGAAAGUGGGUCUUUGGCCCUGGAGGAUACAAUAAGGCUUUGCUACUGUCAGUUCAUUCCGCUUAGUAUUGGUUCAAGUCUCUUACUUUUCAGUUGGAUUCCCUCUAUCAGUGGAUGCGCUACUGGAUCGUAACCUAAUUCUCCAAAUACGGAGGUUGGUUCUAAUACCCUAUGAGUAAAGUAAAGGAAUGAAAAGCACCUAGGCGCGUAGAAUUAGUUCCCGGCUUAAUGCUUAGAAGCAAAGCUGUAGUUCGAUUAUAUUCCCGGCGCUGCUGCUAAAAGAGUUCAACUUACAAGUACAAUACAAAUGCAAGGGUAUAUUAAGUACAGAACUAGGGCUUACACCCGGGACUAGGCAUUGAAGAAAGGAGUGCGAGAACAAAACUUAGAAGUCAUAAUAAGGAUUCCGGGUUACAAGAGUCAAAGGGGAACUACAGAAUUGAACUAGUGCUUACAGAGCUUUAAGUCUAUACGGAAUUUUCGAAUUUCACUCACAAACUAGGAAUUCUACUCUCAAGUAGGCGAACGAGCAAGUAAGAAUUGACUUCAUCACAUCAGUAUGGGACUCGAAGUGGUUAAGGAAACUUUGACUUAUAAGAGAAUUCAACCAUCGAGUCAGGAUACCCAGUGUGAACUCCCCUACCGCCAUAAAUACAUGAAAUGCUACCCCUGCCCUAAAGCCUUGUAAUACUCCUUUUGAUUACUUACUUGUUUCAUUGCUUAUUCCAAGGUUUAGUAGUCUGACAUUCCUGUCUGUUAGUCCGCCUAUCCGUACCCUAAUUCUACUAUACUGGGGUUGGUUCUCGUACGACUAAAUCUUCUUCUUUGAUCUACUAACCUCUACUGCUUCCUCGCUUCUUAUUCUAGUAGAGCAAUAAUAACUCGCUUCUUAUUCUAUGAUUACUUCCCCCUAUACAAUACUUGAGCUCGCAGCUGAUUUCCCUUCUACAGUUUCUUCAGUUGGGCCUAGACCUAGACUAGACACCUAGACCUGGACCUUGGAGAACCACUAACUCGAGACUUAACCGCUCCCGGCUUAGAGUAAAGAACGGAUCUUAUCUUAGCACCAACCUCUUCUACGACAAAGAGCGUAAGCAUAAAAACGAAAACCUCUUUCGUCGCCAACUGCCAUAAAAAGUCACGUAUAGCCGCCAAGGGCCAAGCGCCAAGACACGUAUAAUUAUUAGCCUACCUCUCCCUUCUAUUACUCUUGCUUUACUGUUUCUUAGCCUAUGUUUCCUUGUUCUAAGUCUCCUGAUCCCUUAGCUAGGCCUGCUCUUCCUUACUACUAUAGCAGACUUGACUUUCACUGCCAACUAUCCGACUGUAACUACGAUAGGCCUGCCUUCCUUUCUUGACUCUAAAACGGAUACUGCUUAAUCCAAUUCUGACUAUGAUGGCUUCUAAUUCUGACUAUCAUGGCUACUAUUGGUCUGCCCUUCCUCACCUCUGCAAACUGAUACUAAUGUCUUACUACUUGUCUUACUACUAUUAGGAUUGGGCUAGCGCUAACAAGACGGAUGUUACACCUAAAAGAAUAACCCCAAGAAGGAGGAAUUUGGCUGAUAGGAGCAAAGAUCAAACUGUGCCCUAACCCACUGGAACUAGUUUGACUGCCGCUACACUCUUUUUCCCUGACUUUUGACUAUAUCGUAGGCUACUAUUAGACUAAGUACAAUACUUCAGAAGUUAACUAGUAAUGAUAGGACUUGAAAUACCAAAUAGCAUAAUGAAACUAAGAAGUACAAGAACCAAUAAGCCCACAAUAGAAAGAAUGGAACUGUGGACAACCCUGCUAGAACUGCUGCUACUGCUCCCCAAACCCUAUGUGCGAUUGUGAGUCUGCCCCUACGGCUUUCAAUGUACUACCGACUUGAGCUUACUGCUAUAAGAAUUGAUCCACUGCUUCUGAGAGCAUAGCUACUGGAAAACAGACCCAGAACUAGUUACUAUUAGCCUGGCACUACGGACUUCCAAUAACUUUACCUAGAAUACGGGAACCCAACCUAUACUGAUGAGAGUCAAGUGAACAACUAGUAAUUCCAUCACUGAAAGCCAGGCUCGAGCUACUGGUUAACAGCCUUAUUACGCCUUCCUUUAUUCUGAGUUCUGAGUUAGAGUAUUAUAGGUAGAGUAGCCCCAUACUAGUGAUUCUAUCAAUCAUGUAUUGCUAGCGGAUUCUAUCAAUCAUGUAUUGUAUGUUGCCGGGGCCCUAUAUUCUUAUUGGCGUAUCAUAGAAAAAGAACUUAGCUCACAACUAAGACUGUUGUUACUGGACUCAAAGCCGCCAUUCAUGGAUCUCAUAUCCAUAUUUGUAUCUAGCACUGCUGGCACUGACCUCAAUGCUUGACUCUUAUCGGCCCCGCCGGUCUCUAAGCCUCAACUACGGACUUUCAUUCUCCAAUUCCAGAUCUAGCAUCUUGCUUUAGUGUAGAGUUUUGGGUUCCCGCUCCCGCUUCUCAGCCUUACUAUCCUUCCUUUCACUCUUUAACCACUGCGUCGGAUCCUCCAGCUGCGGAUCUCAUAUCUGUAUCCCUAAAUAAGGGCUUAGGUCUACUGCUUAUUUAUUAAUAGUAAGCUUGGUUCUACCUUAGCUAUAUGUUAUAUGAGUUGUUCUCUUAUUGUUAUUACUAGAUGCACACUCGUACGGACUCCUUAUUCCAGUAGAUACAAAACUUUGACAGUUGGAUUGAUUUCUUGUAUUUGUUAUUUAUAUCUUAUAAUAGUGGUUGUACUUAUCUAUUCUCUUUUACUAUAAUAUGAUUUGCUUAUCUAUUUACUUAAUAUUAGAAACUGCUCACUGAGUGCUUUAACUACUUAUUCACAGAACAGAGGGGAUAAAGAGAAAAGCGGAACAAAGAGUUUGAGCCCGCGCCUGUAAUCACGUCAAAGGAGAGAGCGAUUGAGAGACUUGAUUACGACCGUUAUAUAUUAGCCUUUUCACAUUGAUACCGAUACAAAGAGCAGAUAUGUGAGAUUAUGGAAUAUAGUAAGCAAGACGGAUUCCACUUUAGACUAGCUUUACCAUUACGAAAUACCACUCGGGGAGUUCGAGGGAAGAACCAGGAACCGGAUCCACAGCCGAAUAGCAACUCUAAGUAAGUAUACACGAGCAGAACUCAAAGCGAUCAUAGCGCCCCUUACCCACAUAGCCAUUCUUGCGGAUCAGCCGGGCGUUGCGUGCUUGUUUUGCAAGAUUUCGCUUUCUUCCUUCGUUGUAUCGAUAAGUGAGUGGAUCAAACAUGUGUUCACUUUCCAUUUUCGAAAAAGAGGGUGCUUCGUCAUCUUAAUGAUUUGAAAGUGGAUUCCGCCUACACAAACUACUACAUUGUUGCUUGGUGAGUCCCUGCGUUUGCUUCUUCGGUUUUCUAGUAGCAAGAUCUGGCUUUUGGUUGGAAGAUUGAAUCAGGGGUCUGAACGACGGCAUUCCAAGAAGCUACUUCCUAUGGUAUGGGAUGGUACCCUAUUGAUGAAUCUUUUCAGUCGAAAGAAAGUCAUUUCCCUUUUGUUACCUUCUUUCUUGAUAUUUCUCAAAGAGGCAAAUCCAUAUUUAUAUAAAGAAGGGCGGUGGGGAUGGUUAAGGCAGAAUGGAAAGAAAAGACUACUAAAUGUGCUAGCGAAGAAUUAUGGCCAACGAAAGAAAUUAGUAACUGACCACACUCUUUGCCAUUCGCCCGAAAGCAAGGGAAAUACCAGGAGGCAAGUCGAAGUUAAGUUCCUAUUGAGUUGAGGAAGAUGUUCGAUUCGGGUUCAAAUGAAUCUAAGAUCUCUAUUAGAGAAAGAAAGAGAAUUGUGUGAGUUAGAUUCGUGUGCAGCUGAUGAAAUAGCUAGGGUUGAUGAUAUAACUAGAACUACGGGUGUAUUGCUAAGACUUGUUUCUCUAUUCCGCAUUAAGUAUCAGGGGAAUUUGCCCUGCUAAGGAAAACACCUGCUUGCUGUUAUCAAAUUGAAGGUUUUACAUUAGUUCACAUUCAAAGGGCUUACGACUCAUAGGUUCUGCCCGUGAAUAAGAUCUGGGAUGUUUGGGAGAGUUGUUCCAGAGGUAGUUCAACUAGUCUAAAGUGGAAGCGUUUGGCAAGGAGUUAUUUCCCCAAUGAGCAUUUAGCGAUUCUCCAAUCUAUGUUCUAUUAAACGAUUCACCGACAAUUAGCCUAGCCUCCGAAGACAUGAUUCUAUAGUAAAGAAGUAUACAUGGUACGAAUGGGAUUGAGAAGGAGCUCUUCCCUUUGUCAGGUGCAUGGCCAUGUUGGCUCUUUCCUUAAAGCUGGGGAAGGAAAGCAAGGAACUGAUACGAAAAACUCGCAAAGCACAACUAGAAUAUAGCCUUAGACCUCAUCAAUCGAGGAAUCAAAGAACCAAUCGUUGAAAAAGCCUGAUUGCUAUUAUAGGGCUUUCUUAGGCCUUUGGGAGAUUUUAUUGAAUCAGAGAAAAGGUGAAGACAGUGCCCGGAAUUGGACAAAUAGCUUGUGCACACGAACAGAAGGGAGUGAAUCGUAGAACAGAGAGAGGGAGGUUUGGAUCUGAAGUUGGUAACGCCUAAAACGAUUUCUCGAAUCAACCGUGGAGCUAGGAUUGUCAAGAAGGAGGGGGAAUUAGGCUUCCGGUAGGUGGUAGGACAAAUAGCUCUUUUGAAGGUUCGAAACCCUGCUUGUCUCUAAUUGCUUUAUAUUGAUGGCAUUUAUAGUUCCAUCAGCUCUCCAGUGAAAUGUAAAGAGAAAGGGGAAAAAGAAAAGAAAGCGGCCCUGGGCCGAGUAGGAAAGGGACUCGUUUAUGGCCGCCGUCGGUUUAGACCACACUCCAAUUGUGCAAUGUCAGCACAGCGAAUUGGAUAUGCCUUUCACUAGCUCAACACAAAUGGAAAACACUUGUGAGCGCUUGUCAAUUGAAAGCACGGAGCCCUUCUCUGGAAAAACGAAAAGGGAAGGAAAAUCGAUUGGAGAGAAGAAUUAGCUCAAACUCUGUAAACCUCCUGAAGAGCCUAGGAUUUGUUAGAGAAAAUGGCACCUUGUUUAGCAAAGACCCCGGAAAUCCACCCGGGUAAAGAGAGCCCAAACUAUUAGAAACUAAAGAAGGUAAGUGCACACAUCUUGAAUCAAAAAAGAGCGGGCCCCCACGAGAAAUGAGAAUGGUACUGAAAGAAUGGGUCAACGCCAAUUGUCCGAAGAGUACGACUCUGGGCUAUAUCUUAUUAUCUAUCUGUCUAUCUAUUUAUUAUCCAUCUGUCUAUCUAUCUUGGAUGUCGUCCCUUGCCUUUCACUUUAGCUAGGUCGUGGGCGUAUCCUGUUGCUGCUAAAAAUGAUCUAUCGCUUCCUGCGCCUAGCCAAAAACGAAAAAACCUUCGGGGCAUCCUUUGAUGAAAGGACUUGGUUUCACAACGGCUUAUCUUGCUUUUGAUAUAAGCUCCAAACUUGACAUGUAAUGGCUGCCACAGGAUCAGACCCAGACAAACUAAUAGUGGAUCCCAUUGGAGUUUGAUGCUUGGGGGACCUUUCCGAUUGAAAAAGGGAGACGCCUAAUUGAUCAAUAAUUCCAUAAUAGAAUGAGUUCGUGGCUUGCUGAUCAUAGAUAGGGUUAAGGCUAACACAAAAUCAAUUGAAACCCGGAGUUCCACUUUCCAAUCAAGGAGUAUGGACGAAAUGGAAAAUCUCCCUAUGGACAUUUUGUGAAUCGAAAAUGUUGGGUUUAGUCGACUCGUAAAUCCAGAAUAAUGGAUUGACUACUAUGGAUAUCCCAGGCGGCCUCCCUAUACUCUGCCCACUCGCCCCUUGUUCUUUUGGGUCAACAGCAUUUGGUUCGGGUGAGGCUUCUUCGUUCCACUCAUUUGUUUAGUAAGUGUCUUGUCCGGCCUUAACCAUAGCAGACGAAAACGAUCCAUGCACACACAUAAUAAUGUUGCACAUAUGAAUAGAUAGAGACGCUGUUGUCUAACCCUGAUUGAUGAAACGUAGUCACUUUAAGAUGUCAUCUACAGAACAGGCGCUUGAACCUCUUUCUUCUCCCUAGGUCGAGCCCAACUUCCAUUUAUCGCAUCCAGACAUGAGAAUUGAGAACAUUAUACAGGUUCCACCUAUCUUCUAUUGGUCCUAGAGGAGAUCAAGACUGGUCUUAGUUCCUUUCCCGAGGCGAGGAAGUGAAGAUAAUUACAUUGAGAAAAGAACGAACCUAUUCUUAAAGAAAGAACGGACAACGAGAAGAAUGCACCAAAGAAUGUGUAAGCCCAAAGAAAGUGUAAGCAAGGAAGUGGAAUUGGGAAUGCACCAAAGAAAGUGUAAGCAAAGGAAGUGGAAUUGGGUUGAUUUAUGUAAGAGAAAGGCUUCCCUUACAAUUCAUAGGGUGUAAGCUGUAGUUGAAUACGGUGUUAUGUUUUUCAAGUGAAUAAGAGCCAAGCAACUAAAGAGACCGUUAUAGUAUCUUGACUGUUUCUUUCACGUACUUGGUUUCACUCGUCAAGCGAACAGCCCUUUUAGCAUUUGGAAAUGGCAUACAUAUAUAAUAUAGAGUUCUUCUUGGUAUUGGAUCCGCCCGUAAUCGUUGCCCGACCAACUCUUCCUUCUGUCUUUCCCUACUUUACGCCGUACAUUGAAGCAAGCCUUUACUUGGUUUUUCUCAACUAACCGGCUGACCAACUUGUCUUUCCUCCCGCCUGGAAAAACAUUACAAUCGAAUCGAGUCCUUGUGAAUGGGCAAAGCCAGGUGCUCUUAACGAAAAGAAAAGGUGCUGAAAGCCUUCCACUUCUAUUACUGACAAGGAAUGAAAAACCACCGUUGUCUCUUCGUCUCUCUACUCUUUUGCUCCUCUUUUUGGAGAAGGUAAUAGAGCUUCAAAGUGAACAACCUUUUGAGUUUUGUAGAAGCUAACUAUCCGCUUUCGCACAUGGGAAGUUGAUUCUAUCGCAUAUCCGCUUACUGCUGUAGCAUAUCUGCUGUUCACUACUUCUGGCUUGCCUUGUUGUUUACCAUAUAAAUGAUUAUAUACGAAAGAAAAGAAAACUAUCACUCGAACCAUCGUAGUAAGUCGGCUAGUCUUUUAGAGCAGGUGGCAUGAGAGCUAGAGCGGUCCUCUAAGCAUGUCGAUUCCUAUUUCACAGUGAUCGACCAAUCCUUACCUUUACACGACAGCAUCGAGAAUCUCGUUGAUACUUAAGAAAACGAAUCUCAUCCAAGUAGAAAAGCGAAAAGCCAUAUCGUACGAGUAAAGCUCGUGAAAGGAAAGAUAGAAUUAGGGUAGGGGCAAAUGUGUCCACCAAAAAUGUCCAUAGGGGGAUUUUCUCCAUUAUGGGAUCCAGGUCAAAACACCAUCAAAUAAUUCAUGCUUUUCUUUAUGAUUGGCCUUACACAUAAGCAGCCACCUAGAGCACAUGUAACAACGGCGGAACAAAAGAACAGGAAUUCCAGAACCGAACAGCUUACUUAUCGUCUAUCUAAAGAAAGAAGAGACUUCCUUCAUCUAUUAGGCCCAUGCUCCCAAUAAAGUGCUUACAAAAUCUUCUGAGAACCGAAAUCCCACGAAAGUAAGUAAACACAUACCCACUAGUUUUCCAAUCGAGAAAUUGAAGCUAGGCGAACAUAUCCAAUGAUAGAAAUGAGAUGAAGUAAAAGAUAGAACGGAGUUGGAGAACUAAAGAUCCGUGGUUGCUGAAGACCCUUCUCCUUUUCGGGGAUCCCUACUAGAAAGGAGUAUACAGCUCCACUUAACAUGGAUGUAUACUAACCUUGAUCUUUACACCAAGAAUGGAAUCCAUCCGGAAACUAAAGACUAGCACACCAUCCAAUCAGAUAAUCCUUCCUUAUACAUUAGCGCUGGAAAGAAAGAUAGCACAAAAGAACAAUAACGGAAUCUUAUCUAUACGAAUUCAUUUAGCCGCGAGCAAUCCAUGUUUUUCUCUAAAGAGAUCAUCCUUUCCUUCGUUCAAUUACUGUAUAUAUAAGUUCAGAAUCCUGUCCAAAAGGCAUACGUACAAGUUAUUAUGCCUUGACGGUUUAGCCCCUAAUUUCUCUAACUUGGAAUCAACAGAGAGCUUUCUCUCCCAUUUACAUUUCAUAAAGGGUGCGUGCCCUAGUUGCAAUACUUCCCGCAGGCGUAAUACAGCAUUGGAAGCCUAGAAAGAAAAGAAGUAUGGACUGGGGAAGUGCAAUACACUGGGGGACUUCGACUAUCUAUACUAUACUUUCCGGAUUGACCCUUCAAACUCAGAGACUAAUCCUAUUCUGUGACCCCCGGGGACAGGUACUGGCUCGCAGGAACUCGCAAUGGAACGUGAUUCCUCCCUUCCCUCCUAACUGGCAGGGCAACAGCAACAGACAGAGAACCAAGAAAGUACCCCAUGUAACGUAAAUAGAGGGCAUAGCACUAAGCUUUCUUCUACGUGGUUCUAUCAACCACAAACCACGGAUACUCAGGGUUUCUCACAGGAUCAUGGAUUUCCCUUGCCUUCAAGCUUUCCAAAGAAGUAAAGAAACUGGCUUGACUUGCAAGCUUGCACAGCGGAUAUACUUUUGAACUUAGGAUUGCUAUUUUAGGGCUGGGAAUAAUCCAACAAUUCUUCAUCGCUUUUUUCCAUUGCUUUUUAUAGCUUUCCAUUGCUUUCUGCCUAUCCCCCUAGUUUGAUAAGGAAUUCUUCUAAGCUAGAGCUUUCUUACUAUCUUGCUUUUGCGGCUUGCAAAGUGGUUUGCUUGCUCACUGCUUUACGAAAGCGCUUAUCUUAAGACUGCCUUCAAGGCCUUACCACUAAAGGAAGAAGGGAUCCCAUAAGGAAGGAAAGAAUCAAGGGGCCGGUUCAAAGCGUUGUUGGCUGUUAACUACUAUAGUAUCGGGAAACCUCCGGGCAAAGCGAAAUAUCCCCUCCAAUCUGGAACCUCCUUACUGCGGCUAAAUACCGAUAUCAUCUGCUUCAUAGUGGAAAUGGAAAGUCAGCUCCCUCGAAGAAAUGGAAAGUCAGCUCCCUCGAACGGAAAAACAGGCCUGCCAAACGGAAUCGAAAGAAAGGCAAACAGGAAAUUCCACCCUUGGCAUGACAGGAAGAAGGACUCCCACUUGUUUACUGGCAACUGCCACUGGACCGACAUCGGAAGAAAACGGAAAAUCAAAGAAGAGUCCUGGCCUAAUACACUUGAGUUUUUUGAAGAAAGAGAGAGACUCUUCCCAUUUAAAAGAGAAAGAAGAGAAGGAUAAGGUAUUCUGGCAAUAUCCGGCAUACUCCGACUAAUCGAUUCUAAUAUAAGGCAUACGUAGACUAUACUAAUCGAUUUUUUGGCCAUUUGCGAUCGAACAACCUAUGAACUGUUGUAGCCUACAUAACUGACCUACCAGACCAAGGCAAAGGGAAGAAGGUAUCAGAUAACUGUAGUUCUAUACCCCUUUCUUUUGAGAAACCAGUUCCUAUACUUUGAAUGAGAAAAAGCGAGUCAAAUAGUAUGGUCAAAGGGCAAGCCUCACCUCUCCAUUUCCCCCUAUCAUGGAAUUCAACUCCACUACAGUUUACUCACCAUGACAAGGGCCAGCGAUCUCACUACGAUAAGCUCCUUUACUUCAAAAAGAAAAGAAAACCAGAAAAGAGCAAACCCUUAUCCAUGAUAUUUCCAUAAGAUUCUCCUAUUUCUUAUUCCCCCGAAGGAGCUCCUUGGUGAUUGGUAUAGAGCAAAAAGGACACGAAAAGCUAUGUUAAGUAAUAAAAGGCCGAUAAUUGCUACAAAUAACCUAACACAUUUUUGUCAUGAUCAGAAUUCCAGGGGUGUUUCGCUGGCUCUUCUUUUUUCUCCCUGGGGGCUGGUUCGAAUCCAGCUCGUGACUUUUCUUUUCCUCGUUCACCACCCAUUUCACUUUGUAUGGAUACAUCCGGGGGAAGGCUUACAUACGCGUCCAUACUCAAGGCUAGAGUUUAUGACAAAGAAAUCAACUAAUCCUAUUUGUCCCCGGAAACGGAAGUCCAACCUGAAACCUCAUUUAAAAGUACUCAAAAACAAGUAAGUGGGAUCCUCUCCUUCCUAGGCAAUUCCAUAUAUUGACAUGAGGUCUUUUCCCUAAUUCUUUGAUCAAAGUCUUUUCAUUACAUACGUGUUUUGAUUACAUUCUUUACCUUUAGCUUUAGUGAACUGGCAAGUCGUAUUGUAUUGGUUAUUAGGCAAUCCGACCUCUUCCUACAGUAGGGUUUGGGUUCAAUUGGAUCUCUUUCCUUCUUGACUAUUAGAUUCUUAGGCAGAUGAAUUCGCCAAACGCCGACCCGCUCCAUCAGGACAAAAUAAAGGCGUCCGAGCGCAACAAGACCAGACUGCUAACUCAAUGGAAAAUGAAUUAAGAAAAAAGGGGUCGUUUUAUACUUCGAUGAAAGAGAGACUCAAAAAAGCAGAUGUAACACUCCGGAUACUUGGUACCAAAACACCUAUAUUGGUGUGUUGAUAGGAAGAGAAGAAAAAGACCAGAAAGAACCAUUCCUGAAUCGCCGAAAUUGAGAACAUAGAAAUGUGCCUUCACCCAACCCAUGUAGCAUUUUGGGCAGCCAAAAACACAGGGUGGCCAAUAACGGCUGCAGAGACUUUGAUGUUAUUAGCAUUUACUCAAACUCAUUAAUGACAUUUUCAUACCGGAAUUAUGACUGAGAAUGAAACCUUAUUCGCUCUGCUACAACGAACGAACAGACCAUUGAGGGUGAGUGAAACGGCUAUAAGAAAGGUCCUCUUUCCGCAGCAUCAGAUUGUGCAUUUUCACAUGAAAUUAAGGAUAGGGUGCCAAUAUUGAUUGAAAUACUGGGUUUCCGCCUAUUGACCUUCCAUUCGUUUCACGCUUUUCAAACAAUGAAUUCAUCUGGUUUUCCUAGGAUUCGAAAUUGACCUGUUUGCUGUAUCAGCUCGAACGAAGCUUUCAACUCCACUGCAAGCUUUGAAUCAAUAUCACUAUCCUCGGGCAACCUUUGAGUAGACCACAGGCGGGGCGGAAAGAAGCCUGCUAUCAAACCCUCUUUUGGACUUUUGAGAUCUUUCGUUUUUUCAAAGGAUUCCGGCACGACUCCAAUGCCUAACUACGACUUUUCAUUGAGUUACGGAACGACUACUUUCAUUGAUCCUUCUUUCUCCUGCGCUUCCUUCUGUGUCUUUGCCCACUUCUUUCUAUCUACGUUCUUUCUUCUCUGAGAAUGAUUCUAACCUUCGCUGAGCUUUGAACAUAGAUUUGAUCUCUAGUAAAUGACCUAAAACAAGAAACAGUAAUUACAAGAUUCCAUAUAUUGCCUCGCUCACAACUACUAUCAAAUCUCUCUUUGCCUCGCUCACAACUACUAUCAAAUCUCUCUUUGCCUCGCUCACAACUACUAUCAAAUCCCUCUGCCUAUAACACAUUUUUCAAUACCUUUCACCUUUGAGUUAGAUUCUCUGUUUCGGGGCUCGCCCUCCUCUCCUAUAUAUAAAAAGAAGUGACUCCGGAACUCCCUUACCAGCCUUUGCACUUCUCUAUUCGAGAGGAAUGGUUUACGCUUUGAGCUACUCUACUCUACUAUCUUUCUUACUACAGCAUUGAAUGAACCUCUAAGAGACCAUACUUCUCGAGUUCUAAAAUAGUACUAUAUUCUAAGUGAGUUAUGGCGGAAUGCUUCUUUGUCGUUCUAUCGAUAGUCCCAUCAGUCGUGAUAAAAGAAAGUCCGUCCUGCAGACCCUUCGACGGAGCGGAAUCUUUACUUUCGAGGUCGGGAAGGUAAGCUUCCUACUAUAAAGGAAUGAUUCGAGUUCACGUAACACUAAUGGAUUGGUAAUUGAAUAGGAAAUUAGUGGGAAGAAGAAGACAUUGACCGUAGGACAUAGCAGGUGAUUAAAAGGCAUUGAUCUGACUGAUGUAGUGGACUACGAAAGAUUGACUUCCUCUUCCGCUGGAAAGCAGGAAAGAUUGCAUUUACCCCCUAGCUAUCGUGCAACAAUCCGUUUUGUUGCUUACUACUUAUCUCUAUAGAACUAGCUUCAUCGCCUAGGAGCUAAAAGAGGAAGACAACUGCAAAGAGACUGUUAUUCUUACUCGUUCGCCUAUGAUUCCCGACUCCUGGCGGCCCCUUCGAAACCCCUUCACCCGUCCACUAAAAGAUAACCGAGAACCGAGAUGUCUAGCCGGAGUUUUGUAAUGAAUAUAAGGAAUUGGUACUAAAGGCAAUCGCUGUAUGAAUAAGGUGCAAACUCUAUCAUGGCUUCAGGGGCCUUCCAUAAGUUGCCUCUUACCCUGUUGUCGAUCCGACAGCACCAUCAAGCUGAUACCAAGACAUUUGAACCUCCGCUUUCAGCAGUUUUAUACUAGGACUUCCGUAGCCGAUAAGAGGCAAAACUCGUUGACCAUGCAAAAAGAAAUACGGGCGCUUUACCGUGUCACAGAAAUAGAUCACAUUUCGAGGAGACAAGAUCGGGUCAUAUCCCUCAGCCACUUUCAAUAAAGAGUGGAUACAGAUAUGGGGACUCCUACCCGAAUGCAAACUGGAAGAACUCACUUUCCUAUCGUUCAGUAGGCUUUCAAAUGAUUACCUGUUGUUAAUAGAAAUCGUUAUAGAAUUCCUAUGUUGACAAUCUUGCUUGAGAAUCUGCUUGUUACCUUGCCAUUACUGGCUUGAUCACUGGAAUAGAACUCUUGGGCAGAAGCACUUACAUGGACAGAAUUCCGCCUCUUUAAGGUUAAGGGAAUAGAUGUGGACGGGGCCAACUCUCAGAAGAUGCAACUUCAUUAAUUCCCCGUGGAUGUAUGGCAUCAGGAUGGAAAAUGCCUGGAAGUGAACUUACAAUGAAUGAAGCAGAGCUACCAUUAACCUGGAAGUGAACUUACAAUGAAUGAAGCAGAGCUACCAUUAACCUACCUAAAAAAAGAGAACGAUAAAGGGCACCAGAAAAAAGGGUUCUCGUAUCUCACUCACUAAGCUGUCCCCAAAAAGAAGGAAACUACAACUGACUUGACUGGAGAAAUAGAACUUCCAGCUAUUGCCCUGUCCUUUAGGAUUACAGCAUUUCCACUGGAAAAGGAAUGGAAAGAGAAAAACACUUAUACUCGGUAUAGGGAAGUAGAAAGCUCAGCGGAAUCGAAAGAGGCUUACCCUAGAUUGAAAUUCGAUAGACUUCAAAAGGUUAGCAGCAAGAAAGCCAGGAUAGAAGGGCAGAGAAUGAAUCGGAAGAUGGUUCCUCUGCUCUGUACUGGAAUGAGUCUUAUAAAUAAGGUCUUUGCAGCGAAUACGGGUUAAUGGAUAUUCUCUUGCCGGAAUCGAAUUCCACUGGGCUAAUGAGACAGUGCUUUCAAGCCAGAAGCUGUGGGAGAUCCUGUUUCAAUAGUGGCUUCUGUCUUGCCUUCGCUAAACAAGUUUGAGUUGCUUUCCUUUCCGCAGUAUCUUAGGCUCAGAAUAAAGCAAAGUAUAGAGGUUAUUAGGGAAGCUCUUGUCUCGUCUGGACUACACGCAAUCUUUAUCACACCAAGACAGGAGUAGAAGUACCUAUCUUGUGAGAGUCAGAAAGUGCCUUAGUUAAGUAGAUAUGGGAUUUGAGGCUAGUUUUCAGUAUACAUUUGAAGCUCAUAACUUCUUUUUUCUUCCUCUAGGGAAAUUGGAUUAUUGAUUCCCCUGGUGUGUAGGCCCCUAUCGUUGCAUUGAAAGCGGAGUCAAUUCCGGAGUAUUUCCUGCACCACGGAAUUAGGACUAAUCUUCCUCUGCUCUUUAUUAGUUGCCACUAGCUGCAUACCAAACUAAUUACGAAAUGUGGCUUACUGUACUAUUGUGGGUGGGUAAUAUCUAAGUUAAGGCCUUACCCUCAUGCCGUGUAGUAGAUAAAUAUGAAUCGCCACCUUACACCUAGGUCUCUAUAAAGCUUACCUUGAUCCAAUACUUCCUUAUAUACGAAAGUGCCUUCCAAAAUGCCAGGUAUUAUCAUGGAAAGUCUCUCAUUGAGUAGCCUUAAGUAAUAGAAAAAGGGUGUUUAGUAUAGAAAGAAUUGGUAAUCAGAGUAAGUCCUCAACACUUGACAAUAGGGAGUGAUAGAUUGAUGAAAUCCAGCCACCGCCUCCACGUAGCGACUUUGUUACGACUUUAUUAGUGGUCUGAGCUUGGGUUAGUCUAUUUCAGACCGGCACACGGUUACCUCCCUUCGACCGCCUUUUACACGUUGUCUUCUUUGUCGUCCAAGAACUUUCUCACUCCUUUAGACUAAAAGCGAGUAGGCCUUCUUUUCUGCACUUAUGUAAUUUCCCUAUAUAUGUAUUUCUGUCCAUUCUUCGCGAUAGGAGAUGCAAUGCAGCUGGGUGCCGAACUCUGGCCUGUGUAUGAAAGCGUAACUAGUGUUAGCUCUUUUGAAGGGAAUAAGCCACCUAACUCCUUGCUUGCAUCCCGCCCCAACGAUCCGGUGCUAAACGAAAGAAAUCCCGGCUAUGCCUAUUCUUCCUUGGUUGUAGGAUAGCUCUUAGGUAAAUACCUUGAUGUUCCUCCCGUUCGUUAAGCGAGACGGUGAAGCUCUAAGUGGCAAACAUCUCCUUCAGGGACAGCGUUUCUGGUAUGAGUCUUUUCGUAACUACUCUCAUCCCCAGCCCUUGAAGUUAGUUCGGGUUUAGCAAGCUUUUGAAGAACCUAUCGUCACCCAUUCCACAGAUAGGGAACGUCAGCCAAGCCUUUAGUGUCAAACAAUUCUUUUUCGGUAGCGAGCGCAAGUCAAGCGGUGGCCAUAUGGAAAGGGCCUUUGGAUUCCUCGUCGAAGGGAAACUAUGUCUCUAAGAAAGCGAAACCAAUAGGCUAAGAAAGAUCAAACCGGAAACUACAACUACGAGUAAGAUAGAAUCUCAUAGCAGGAGUCGGGAACGGGACUGGUCUGUCUUUUGAACAAUAGAAAAUCACUGGUGUGAUAGAUAUAGGUAUAUGGAAUUGGAUUAGGUGAUUGGGCCAAGCAACAUAGUCAGUUGCGCGGCAGGGCAGCUAGUUUAAGAGCUCUCUAUCACUGGAACUCUACUUUGCCUCACUAGUUGACUUGUUUCCCUUUACGUAAUCCCACUCUGCCUGGCUAAUGAUGAGUUUCUUACCUUAACCGAUUCACAGCGGAUUAUCUUCUUAUUAACGAUGAAACGGAUUCCCUAUCUUAUUCAUCUGAUACUCCACGUUAAGAACCACUAGCUUAAGAUCUUUCCACUGCGGAUUAUUCUUAUUAUCCUUAGUCUGCUUCAGGACUUAGCGCUUCAAAGUAAUGAACACCAAAAACAGGAGAAGUGGGGCGGGAAUAUAAGUUGGAUAUGGAUCAGGGUCUCAUGCAAUGCAAGCUCACCGAACUAACAAACUUAUUGUUUUGGGGUUGGAUAGCUAACGGCUUAUUUACUUGUGUAUUAGUGAGUUCCCGAACACAGGGCUUUUUAUAACUCAUACAGUUGUUUAGAAUCCACAGUCAAGAAACAAGGUAUUAGUAAAGAGUUGAAGACCGCUUAGUAUUAUACUCUGGCUCUUGAAACGAAAACAACCCUUUAUUACCCUUACCUGCUUGCUGGUUCCCUUGCAAGGAUACUAGUAUUCAGUAGAUAAGCCCGUAGUGUAUUCUGUAUUCUUUGUCAGUGAUAUGAGAUUAUGACUUUAUUGCCUACCUUUACUCUUUAUUCAAGAUUCUACCUUUCCUACUAAAUCCUCUUUAUUCAAUUCAAGAUUCUACCUUUCCUACUAAAUCCUCUGACGCUAGUGCCACUUAUAUAUCUGCGAAUGAAACAAUAAAUGGAAAGAAUGAAACGAACAACUAAGAAUUCCGCCGAGUGUCCUAUCCUAUCCUGUGACAAAAUUCCAUAAAAUAAUUCACUAUCUAUCUUCUUUUCUUCAAUUCCAUUCAAAAGGUUCACUCUUUACGCACAGAUCAAUUGCAAUGUAAAUGACUCCCUUUCCGGAUACUGAGUCAACUCCUUCUCUUUCUUAAUUACUGGCUUCUCUGAUCUCUAAGACCUAACAGGCACUGCGGAUUCUUGAGUCUACUUCCCGUUACUUCCCGCUUGUUGCCUUGUUGCGCCUUUAUUAGUAUACGCUUGUUUAGUAUUGUUGUUCAGUUUGCUGUGAUUGGAAGCACAGUUCUAGUUUGCUCCCUGCCGUCCGUUGUUAUUCCAGUUUCUCAUGUUAUCUGGAAAAGUUCUCAUACCAAAUACCACAUCGGGUCUGCCAUUCCAGAAAAGAAAGAGCAAAUCCCAAAAACCUUUCGAACGACUUCUGCGCCAAAACACCUUAUCCUUUAUCCCUGCUGUUGAAUGGGACUCCCCAAGCCUUCCGUGUUCAAAUGCCUUUGCUUUGGUCUCUGCGUCGCUUAGGCUGGUUCAAUGCCACGGGAGGAACAAGUCAAAGCUUUUAGAGUUGCAUCACAACGGCUCUCUCCUGCCACCUUAAUGUCGAAGGAUAAUGAAUAAAGAAAGUUGGGUAGAUCUAUACAUUCCCGUGGAUCAGAGAAAGUAUGUUGUAAAGGCAAAAUCCAUCCAUUCCUUUAUAUCCGUAGGAAGCUAAAGCUGACUCGGCCAAAAUCAGUAGUCAAGGCAAACACUCUCGGAUCCAAUAGAGAUUUCUCCGGCCCGCUUCUAAACGAGGAAGCUGUUUUCUCUUAGUAAUGGCCUCAAUAGAUCUAUCUCUUGGGCAAAGUAGACUGCGCGGCUUCGCUCGUUCUUCUAAAAGAUGGACUCGUGCCUGAAUCCGAUAUGAGUCAAAUCCGAUAUGAGUAAGAGGUCUCAAUCUUCAAGUAAUCGGUAGAAUCCCUCAUUGUUCAUUUGCUCGGGAAAGAAAUCAAUCCAGAAAUUCUUGAGGUUAGUCCUCUAUGAGAUCCUUUGGGAGUGAAUAAGUAAGUUAUGUAGUCCAGGAAUAGGAUACUAGAAGCUCCGUAGGGAAGGGCCAACUCUGCCGAAGUGUCAAAUGGAUAGAUAUAGAUAUAGAGAAAUAGAUAUAUAUAGAUAUAGAUAUAUUAGCAACGAGUGAACCUUAGUCGAAUAGUUAUUAUUUUGCAACGAGUGAACCUUAGUCGAAUAGUGCUUAUGGUAGUAAAGAAAGAACCAGACUUCUAAAACCACUUUAGGGGGCGAAUUACUCAACAGGACAAAUAGGGAGUAAUCUUCUUUUGAUGGCAACGAAGCCGAUAGGACUUACCCCCUACAAAGCUGAGGAUUAGCAACCUAUAACUACCCAUUUAUGAAACAAAAAGAUUAAUCCAUUCCUUAUGAAGCGAGCACUACUCUUCAAAGCCAAGCAUCAAAGUCAAAAGUCUAGGCCCUUUAUUCUGAAACUUUGCAAGAAUACGAGUAUAUUUCUGUGCGAGUGGAAUCGGAUUAAGAAGAAAGCUGUGCUAGUGCUCUGUCAUUGUAUCAAGAAGAAAGUAAGGAUCUGAGGCAAAAGUGAGAUAUGAAGCUGGAUCCGUAUAAGAAUACAUAGUUAGGAGAAUAAUAUGUUUCAGGGUAUUUACUGAUUUCUAUAUCUAUGCCAGGUGCAAGAAAGUGAGAAUCUAAUUGAACUAAUCGAAUUUCGGAUCAAGACCCGCAAGUAGAGUUAAGAACGAGAAUUAUUAUAUGUUAGUGUUUCGUGUUCUUGUUUCGGAGUCUCUUUCUGUUCGAGUGCAAUCCUAUCCUAGUGCUAGUGUUGUCGGUGAAGAAAGAAGAGUUAUUGUUAGGGAUUCGAAGCUGUAUCUGGUUCAAGCAUAGGUAAAGAAUAUGGUUAGGAGACAAGCAACACCACUGUAAACUCUAACAUCAAUUUCUUCACUGUGAUGCUAUACCGAGUUCUAUAUGUUUCAACAACUCAUAUACUGCCUUACACUGCUUCCCCUUCUUGGUAAUCUUACUGACCUGCAGGCUUGGUUUGGCUUUUGCCCACCUCAACUCUCCUGACUUUCUCACUGGAACUAGCCCAGUUCUUGUUCUUAAGUAUGGGAAUGGAUAUGACCAGUGUAUUUACUCGGUUCUCCACCAAGUGCUUAAUGCUGAAAUUCAUAAUUGUUGACAUAGGUAUCGGAGCCAGAGCCACUAGUAUUCGCCUGUCCGGGGUGUGUGAAGUUAGAAGUCCGUUGUUUGUUUAGUAGCAGUUGUGACAGUCCUGUGUUAGCCUGUCCGAGAGAGGAAAUAGAUAACAUGCCCGGGGUAGUCAAUUAGGGAGUAUAAGUUUGAAAGUGGUAAUGAAACUCCAAGGGAAUAAGUAGCUUUGGGAGAAUCUAGUACAGCUGGCAAGGAAGGGAAUAAGUAGCUUUGGAAGAAUCUCGUACAGCUGGCAAGUAAGGGUAUAGCUAAGCAUAUUCCUCAAUAAGAGGAAGAGGUAAUACAAAGUCAGUUGGUAAUAAAUAGUUCUUAAUAUCAUAUAGAAUCCGGAUAGUAAUUCUCAGAAUUGAUAGACUUAUGUUUCAAAUACACUAUCACAUCACUUAUAGGGACAGGGACAUAGGCACGGGAAGCCUCAGAAGGAUAAGAGACUCAAGUUGGCAGUUCGGGUCGGGUGCUUAUGCUAGUGAGAAUGAAACCGGGUGCUUAUGCUAGUGAGAAUGAAACCAGGUAGUUCCAGGUUGACAGCCAGGUUUACAGCCCCUUAAAAUAGUGGAGUAGUCUCAUCUGUCUUUCAAGAAACAACAAGGAAAUCCAGAAAUAAAGAAAACAAUAAAUACAGGUAAGUAUACUAGGACAAAGAAAACAAUAAAUACAUAUUAGGAACCAGUGAAUAUUCAAGGGUAAGACAAGAGGGAUGGAUCUAGACAAUUAAGUAAGUACGAUCUAGCCAAUUAGGUAAUAAAUAAGGAGUACAGUUAAGAGGAGAGGCGAGGUCGGGUUGGUUAAGAGAGGAGCCUAGCCUCAUUAAGUUAUUAGUUGACAGUUGCCAUAGGUAGAUUAGCCUGAGUGAGAUUAGAUGGAAAGGUAUAGUAGCCUUAGGGGUCUCAUAGAUGGAUGAGGGUAACUAACCCAAUAAGAUAGGAGCAAGGUCACUAAUUGUAGUUACUUGUCUGCUUGGCUCUUCUAUUUAUAUAGGAGCACGUUUAGAAGAAGUUAGAAUAAGACAAGAGGGUAUGUAUAAGAAUGAAGCUGGCUUAUACUUACUAGCGCAUUCCCUAUAACUAUAGUGAGUAUUAGAUUAAUAGAUAAGAUAAGAUAAGUGUGAAGUCAGGUUUAGGUAUUGAAUGAAACUCAUAAGCAAUGAAAACAGGGCUGGCUAGUAUAUGUUAUUCUAUUUCGAGUACCUAUGGAAUAUGUUAUUUAGUAUAUGUUAUUUAAAGAUAUGUUAUUGAAAGUCUUAAUUCCACUUGUAUAGUAGUUGCUAAGUAGACUGGGCUCCCCGACUCUGCUGUAUAUAGCUAAGGCUUCUUUUAUAUAUCUCCUACCCAGGACAGGUUAUCUAUCUCCUAUUCUGGAUGCAACUCCUAAUGAGAAUUCCCACUCCGGGUGUUCCUGUGCCCUUAAGUAAUUGGGAAAGAGCAUCUUACUGGCUUUGAGUCGAGGUCUCGAUUCUCCUUAGGGUCAUUUUGACUUUAUCUAGGAUUAACAGCGUUGCUAAGGUCUUUAGCGGGGUUCCCAUUAUGUCUAUUGUCUUCCUAGUUAGCUGAAAGAGACAGCAAGCAGAGGAAGCAAACAAGCCGGAAGCAACAAACUCACUAAAAAGCCCUCUAGCUCAAGGGAUUUAGGGCACCAGAAGAACUCGUAGAAGCCGAGAGAUACUGAUUCGUAAAGGGCUUCUGGAGCAGCCAUAACGCGUCCAAAGAAAUGGAAAGAGAAGGAAAAAAGGGGGCGAAAAGGAAGAGAUGUUAGCAACUCGCUCAGAGGCGGGCUGAAAUAACUACUAGAACUGGCAACGAUGGGGACACACAGAGCUAGGCUAGUAACAGCAGCUCCAAGACAGAUGCGGGAGUCCCAGCCAAGAAAAAGAUCGGAUGCUUCACAUGAACUACCAACUGGAGGGCAAGUCGAAGAAGUCCAAUUUCUGAAAGUUCGUAUUAUUAACACUCUCGAGAGCGGAUGCUAUCAAAGAAGGAGCGGCACUCACGAGAGAAGAAGUAUCUAGAAGGAUAGAGGCUGCUCUACUAUGUCAAAAUAUCAUUGUAUCGCGAGAAGACCAUGCAGAGCGCGGACAUCACUUUCAUAUUGGCAUUUUCAUUGAACAGGGAAUUUCGAAAAAGACAGCACCCAGAAUCCUAAGGAAAGUAUUCCCUGAAUUCGAAGGCGCGCAGCUCAACGUGUCCUACCACAAAGCAUGGGCAUCUGUGUUCAAUAUAUCCUGAAAGAGGACUCACAGCCAUACCCGUGGGGGAAACAAACUCUACACCAUAUGAAGGAAACAGUGAAAGCACAGGGGACACAUAGGAAAAUGCCCGAAAGAAAUAAAGAGAUCGUCAAAAAAGAAAAGAUCUCGAUGAAUGGCAACAAGUUUCUGAGGAGCCCCGGAUAUUCUGAAACAAAUCUUCUCUUCCUAUAACUCCCUAAAAGCGGUCUUCUAAGAUAUGAGAAUCCUCAAAGAGAAAGAAAGCAGGUUGCAAGAAAGAUUCCAGAAAGACUUAGAAAGUAUGGGAUGGCCCGCGGAGUAUACUAUACCAUAGAAGAGUUGCAAGAAAAACACUUUUGACUCGACAGGCUGGGAUGCAACCUCGUCUUUUGAAGACCAAUAAAUCCAAAACUGCUAUGACUUUAUGGAGAACCAAGCACACAAAAAACACUCAUCUUCGAAAUGCUUAGCGCCGUGCUCAACAUAUACCACGCAUCCUCCAGAAAGAAUGAUUUCUCUCGGGGGAGAGCACAUGAUCAUUAUUACAUGUGGCUAUUUUACGAGUUCCAUGUUGCCGAAGAUAAGAAUAUUAGCGCAUAGGAAUCAGUCAAGCUAUCAUGGCUGCGUCUAACAACACUAUACUAAGGGUGCUAGAUGGACAGCAGUGCGGAUUAGAUUCCAAAUAUGGGGAAGGUUAUUUAACAAAAGAAGAAAACUCCAUUAUACCUACUUAUUGAUUUCUUUGACUUUCCUUUUCCAUUGCAUCUCUAAGAAAGCACCCUGCAACUAUAGCGGGUUAUCGAUAUGAUGUCCAGAAGUCCUAUAAUUAGCUGAAAGAGGAAGGGAAAGCUACCUCAUAGCAGAAAGUAGAUAGAUUUCGCAAAGUGUGCUCUAGUGGUAUCUAGUUUAGGAAAGUGUCCUCUAGUGGUAUCUAGUAUAGGUUAAGAAAUCUUUGAAGACUCUUAUUUAAUAUAGCAGAGCGGAUCGAGGAUAUCAUUCCUGUAAACAUAGUAUUGUCUAUCGCCAGAAGUCCCAAAACCAGAACCCAAGAAACUAUGAAGCGAGGGUUACUGAGGAGAGGUGGGCAAGUCACUUGAAACUUGAUAAACAGCUUAAGUUCAAUGAAAAACAAUGUCAAAGGAAUUGCUCAUGGCAACGUACUAACUAACACUCAUCCUUAUAUGGGAUAGGACUUUACUUAGGAUGCAACUCGAACAGCAUCUUUGAUCUUGACCUACUCCGCGGAAAGGAGAUACUUCCCUCAGACAGGCAAUAACAACUGACUCGGUAAACAGGACCCUACCCCUUUCUUUACCUCAAACAGGAAAGCUUCAGGAUAUCCCCCCGCUCAAUAAAAGUAUGGGGGAGGCGCAAGGAGAAGAGAAAGACAAGUCAAAAGAGAAGGUUAAGAGCACGGGGUAGUGACAUAUUAUCUCUCUUUAGGGGCUGUCUAAGACCUCCGUUUCAUUCUCUGUUUUUCAAGAAGGCGCUAGAUUCAUCCAAUUCCGUCUUAUUGGCCAAGGGCAUAAAGAUGUGGUAGAUCGCCAGCAAGGGAAGAAUUCCAUAGGUAUGCUCGAUAUUGGCAAAAAGGGAGAGUUGACAGUAAAGUAUCAGAUUCCAAAGAAAGGGAUGCCGUAUAUCACUCAGUAAUUUGAGAAGGAGUUAGGAGUUGAGAGUUAGUUUCAUUCUGAUGAGUAGUGGUCGAAAACUGGAAUUGUCAUAGUGAUUACAACCCUUUACUUGAGCUCCUAACGCGGCUUAUUCUUCGUUACUAGAGUUGGAACUCCAGAAAUAUGUUCUGUAGGCCAGUGAGACAAUAAGGCUUAUCAAGAGGCUACUGUUGGUGGACCAAGCGUAUACUAGUUGGUGUACUCCUAAAUUCUUCAAUGCCAACUUGUUCCGUAUAGAAUACUACUAAGACUAAGACUACUAAUACAAAGAAUACAUACUUACCUAAACUCCGAUAACUAAACUAUAGAGACAUAGGAUUGAAGUUCAGAGCACUAGACUAGAGGGUGACCAAAAGAGAGUAGAGGCAAAUCAGGAAAUCAAUAGUAAUGAAUUAGUAACUAGCCUAAAAGUCAGAAUGAAUAGAGUGGACUUACCUCUUCACUCCCUUACCCACUCCUACAAGUUCCAUAGGGGCUCCCCCCUUUUUCUUUAUGAUUCUAUUUCGAUUACCGGAGUUGGAAGAAGAAAGGCGCAGAUAUAUAAGUGGCACAGCACUUCCCGCUGACUUAACCGACGGAGAUGAUCUUUCCACGAGCAAUAUUGUAGGUGAGCGAAACUAAGUGAGUUUGAAUUGAAAUGAAAUAAGUCGCAUAGUAUAGUAUAGAAAGAAGUAAACUAAUGACUUGCUUUAAGAACGGAGAAUGGAGGCAGGCAUACCUAUAAUGAAUUGUAAGAAACGAGAAUGGAGGCAUAACAGCAUUGAGUACAAAAGAGGAGAGGUCUCACUUGUUCUCCGUUAGCUUUUAAAUAAACAGUACUUUCUUCCUCCGCUCACUCUACUUUAAGUUCCUUUCCGGCUGACAAUUGAACUGCUUAACCUAGAUCUACUUGUUAUCUUGGCACUGGCACUCUGACUAUAAAAGUAAGUCCAUUCUUCUACUGAUGCAGCAUAUGCUGAUUAUUUGUCUCUCUACUCCUUACCUAGAACAGGAAGAACUGGCCGAGCUACAGGAGCUCUACUUUCACUUAACUUCCCGCUUCUUCUCCUGCCGCGUCACUACUAACAAAGCAACUACUAGAGAGAAAGUACCAUUUACUGGAUAGAGAGAAAGUACCAUUUACUGGAAUUCCAGAAUGUAAUGUUGGAGCACACGACUAGGUUUUGGCUAUAAAGAGCAAACAAGCAAUUACUACAAGCAAGGGCUAAGAACUACAAGCAAGGGCUAAGAUAGGAAGGGGCGAUUUCCCAUAAAACUACUGAACCAAGCUAACCGCCGAAGACAUCUUAUUGGGCCGAGCGUAUACCACAAAGGCAACUAAAGCAAGGAACUCAAUAUAUAUAAAUGGGCUGUUACCAAGUCCUGUCCCCUUAAGUAAUUGGGCGUUAGGAUUGAGUCUACUAACCCAUGUUCAACUACGAGAAUAGCUAAUCCACCAUUCAGGUACCAACCAACAAGAGCGGAGCUCCUAACGCGGAAGAGCCUUGACUUUGUUAAUCUCUUAAUCCGCUACGUGGACAUGAGAAAAGAGAUGAUUCUAUAGAUGAAACUAAGGUUAAGCGCCAAGAACGGAUCUCUAUGACUCUACUUCAACACAAUUCUGUAAACUUCCUUUCCUUACCACCCGGACUUUGAAUCCACUAUGGGAUAUGCUUUACCUAAUCCUGCUCCAUAUUCGAAACUUUCAGUACCGCCGGAACUUUCACUUCUUUCUUGCGCCGAGGCUGUAAGUGAUAGAACUAGCGGCUACUCAAUCAAAGAGAAAUUGAUGAACUGACCAUAUAUCUAGAAAAUGGGAAUGCACCUAGAAACGUAGUGACUUUAGGCGCCUACCUAAGCUUAUUUGUUCUUGCACCCCUGGAUACCGAACAGCUCUUUCUCCUUCUCUUAUUCCUGCUUCAAUCAAAGCCAGUACCUUAUCAAGUUUCUACUUUUCCUUGAGACUCAACCGACGCAGAACCUAUACCUAUAUCUUAUCUGCGACAAACACUCGAAAGAAACUAGUAUGAAGUUCAGGACAGAUGCGCUUGAUACAACACCGCUACUGAAUUAGGACUUGGUAAUCACUCUCGAUUACAGGACAAGGACAAGCAACCAAUUAAGUCUUUACCACAAGACUGCAUUUACUACUUGCUGAACACAUGGGUUAUACUGGAGAAUCUCCCAUACCUAUAAACCUAUAUCCCUUUAACCGACUUUCAGUUAAGAUUACUCGCUUGCUGCUGACUCUCUUGAUGGUUCUUUUGCCGACCCAUCCUAAACUACACUUGAAGAACUACUUGCAGCACUUGCAGCUGACCUUGAGACCCGGACUGCCCUUAGAAUGCAUUUGGACUAUUUCCUAUUAAUAUAGCCCUCCAGCUAGACAAGCGUAACUCUGACUUGCCCCUGCUACGAAACCAACUAAUAGAAAGAAGGUUAGCCACUUCAAGUAAAGCAUCAGCAGAGCGGUAUCUCGGAACAGUAUCAUCAGAAUCAACAGGAUCGGGAUCUGACUCAGUGCGUAAGCGAGUUCGGGCAAGAACAAAUCCGACUAGUAACUGCUCCUGAUUCAUCGGUUAUGAAAAUAGAGUGAGUUCGGUUCGAGGAAGAAGAAAAGGAAGCCAUGUCUUUGCUUCUAUCUAUACAAUGUGUUACUUAUCGAAAUCAAGUCAGCCAAGUUACUACUAUACGCCAAGGAACGGAUAGACAAGAGCUAAGCAAGAAGGAGUGAAGUCUAGAGUGGAGUUACUUGCUUCUAAGUGUGUUAGGGAGUCUUUAGUAGUGAAAGUUCUUUACCGCUAAUGGGAGCUUAAAGCACUGAUAUUAGGAUCCAAUUCAUUAGUAGAGCCGAUAAGUAGGUGAAAUAGGGUAGCAUUUCCAAAGCGAAUAACAUGUGGAGGCUAUGAAAUAUUUCGUGCCCCAAGGUAGAAUAUCCGUAGCAAAAAGAAAAGAGCCUAUUCGUAUAUAUUCAAGCCCUUUUCCUCACUUAGCAAAAGAAAGAGCCAAAGAUCAUAUUCAUGUGCAAGAGUCGCUUCUAAACUUCUUCAAUCAUAGAGAAAGUGGGCGGUUCGACUGGUGCUUUUGUUUGACUAGGGGCAUUAGCCAUAGGAAGUAUAGUAAGGUCAGGGAGUGAGCAAUAGGAAGUAUAGUAAGGUCAGGGAGUGGUUUCAACCCGUCACCGAGGGUUAUUCCAUUCAUUCAUCUUGUUCUACUAGUCUAUGCUGGUUUGUUUGCCGGGGUCUUUUCUCUUAGCGAAAAUCCUGUACUCAUCUCCUUCUUGGGCACUUCCCAGUCCACAACAGACCUGAUCUUCUCAAGAUCCAUCUGAACCCUUGCUGAUCCAAUGGCCAAGAAAUUGCACUUUCGUCUGAGCACCGUUUCAUAUAAAGCUUAUUUUAUUGCUACACCCCGAACACAGUACUCCGGCCUCCAGUGAUUUACUAUAAACGAUUAUGUUCUCGAGGUUUUCCACUACAAACAGGUCAAGGUUAUCCAAAAUGGAGAUUGUUCCUUUAAAUGACUCAUAUAUAUAUAUAUUACAUCUUACCCUCAAGGUGUCAAAGCAUGUAUUUCAAAAAAUAGCUACUUUAGGCUCGCUAUAAGUUGACUUAAAAGGCAGGCAUCUCUCUAUUGAUUAAGCAAUAACGUCUAUAAGGCAGGCAUCUCUCUAUUGAUUAAGCAAUAACGUCUAUGUUCUGCCACGUUUCUAUAGAUAUUGAAAGAACCCAUUUGUGGGCCGCAUCCGAAAGCAAGGCUCAAGGGGUGUCUGAGCUAGCAUGCCCAAUCUUAGUUAGGAUUGCAUCAGUUAUAUAUACGCAAUUAUCACUUGCAUUACAUAACAUAAUACAGAAGCCCGAGCCAAGGAGGAGAUCAUCAAAACGCCGAGAGCAGGGCGAAGGCAGCAUCCUCUUUAAAGCCCGAACAAAGUCAGUGCGUGAAUACAUCCUCGACUAACUUCAAUGAGGGAGAUAUACAAUAUAUACUUUAGUAGAGGUCGGGUCGGGGUAAAUACAUAUUUCUUUGCAAGGAGAGGAGAUGGGUUAAGAGUUGAGUUAGCCGUUGCGCAAGGGAAGGAACUAGAAAUCCAUAUUAUAGGCGUCAAUGCCAUAGAACAGCUGAGAAAGGUCUGAGUUAGUGGAUAAGACAUUUGAUUAAUGGAACAGACGUUAAAGGACGAUAAAUAAGGGUUUGCAGUGGUUUUGCUUGUGUCUAAGUCUGGAAGGGGAGUGAUUGUGUCUAAGUUAGCGCGAAAAGUGCUUGUUUCAUCGUCUUAAGAAGCUGUGCCCGGAAUCCGCAGUGCGUUUGUAAGCUGGAAAGAAUACUGGGUUCAGGUCAGGGGGAAAGUGGAAGAGGUAAGCUACUAGUCUGAGAUAGAAUCAAAGGUGAACAUUAUAGUACUUGCAUUGAGUAUAGCCUUCAAUGUGCUAAUAUGGAUUCUUAAAGCAAUGGCGGAGAGUCUGUAGUGCUGAAGGGAAAAGGGGGAUUGAGUAUUUAGUAUAAAUUCAAGUAACAGGAUAAGGAAGCUGAAAUUAGAUAAGGCGAGUGUUGGCGACUCGAGAGAAUCCGCGGGAUCAGUAUCUUCUGCAGUGAUAGUUUAGAUCGGAAAAAGAAAAGAAUGGAAUGGAACUUCCAAAUCAACGAAAUCAGGACUUGCUCUGUACGGUUGGGUUGAAAGUUGUGUUGACGCAGCAUAAUCUUUAUCAGAAUUGAACUAAGGUCUUCCCUAUCGCAUAUCAGAAUGGAAAGUGUUCUACUAAGAAUCGAAUGUUUAAUGAGUAAAGUAAUCAAAAGAAUGGUUCAUUCAAGUAUAUAGAGCCAAGCAAACUACUAUUAAGAAAGAGAACCUGUGUCCUGAUCUAACUCUGUCAACUAAUUCCGUUAUUGAUCCUCUCAUUCUAUUCUAUAUACAACAACUAAAGUAUAGCUCUGUAUGAAUGUCUCCCAGUGGACUUUCUUCUUUUACAUAAAGAUGAAGAUUCCACUCUAUCUCAAACUCCUUUAUGCCUUCGUUGGAGAGGUUCCUUGUGCCAAAGCCCGAAACAGGUAAGAUAUUUUCGAGAAGGAAAAAGAACACACGGAGGAAAGCGGGGAUAGGCUCUACUAAUUCUCAAUAACCGUGGAGUCCCUAUGGCCAACCCAAACCUAGUGGAAGCGGAUAAAGGGCAGGGAGAGAGACAGAAUGGAGAAUCAAAAGGAACUAACGAAGAUGUCGGCCUCGGCCAGGGAGAGAGACAGAAUGGAGAAUCAAAAGGAACUAACGAAGAUGUCGGCCAGGGAUGACAAUCUAGUGAACCUUAAGCCAUACCAAAUGGCAGAAACCUUCACUUUUGAAUGCUGUUGCUUAUACCAGAAAAAGCAAGUGCCGACUCUAAGAAUGCUGUUUGCCUUCUAAUGCUCUUGACUUGGACUUUGAAUGCUGUUGCUUUGCUUAUACCAAGAGAGAAAAAACGGGUGAAAAUCCAGCGGAUCGGGGACUGAGCUACGAAAGGAGAGAAAGAACACUUGCAGGCAGAGUAGAUGGACAAGCUGAUGGUUUAGGUAUACUUGGCAAUUGCUUCGAUGGGGGGUAAACUUUGAUGCAUGUCCGACCCCCAGUAAACUAGGGUAGGGUAAAGGGGCCUUUAAAGGUACUCCUACCAGCGAGGUAGCGUUCGUUAUUCUCUAUUAGCGAAUAACCCGGCCGCUACAAGAGCACCUCCGUUAGCGACUAGGAAGUGAGUUCUUUCGCGCGCAACUUACAGCACUGAUAAAUAAAUAGGGAAGGCUGGCACUGAUAAAUAAAUAGAGAAGGCUUGUCGAAGUUCUGUUGUUGCUGUAUAUUCGUUCAGGAAUCUGGCAAUAACUUUCCCUUUUCUUGAAAAACAAAGAAAGAUCAUCGCAAGCAUCAGAUCCAGACGCGAGUAAAAGCAAUGGAAUCCAGAAUCCCUUUAUCCAUUUACAGCUAAAGCGGGGACCCACCGACUCUAGUAGUUGUAGGCCAUGCCUGUGUCCGAUACAAUCAAUAUGAAAUAAUAGGUAAGUGCAUGGUUGCUAGAGCAAUACUUUGUUACUUUAUUAUAUACGUUGUGCUAAGUCUCUUUUCACUUUCAUGGAAUUUCCCCUUCUGAAAACCCCUGUGUGCGCGCUUCCUAUGCUCAUGCUUACCGGUAGCUGCCCUUGGAUUUCACUCGCUAGUGCGAGGAGCGAUAAGACACCCUUGUAGUGAUAGCGGCAGCCCAUGCUUUUUGGGGCGCCCGGCCUUAGUUUGAAUUCCAGAAAGACCCGGAACCAUUGGAAGCAGCCUUCGAAGCGUCAGAGACAGAGCCAGAACUCACUAUUGACUCUCUCCCACUCACUGGAAGCGGCAUCUUCUUAUAUGAUUCUGGAAUCCCCGCCGUGCUUCUAGGCAAUGAGAGAAAGGUGGCGAAGCGAGGAUGGCUCCGGACCUGAUCAUUCAAGUACCACAGCGCAUUAUCACCAGGAAUUUCAUCAAUAGAUGCGGGAGGGCAAGGCACAUAUUUCUAGCGGAUAUAAGGCGUAGAAAGGUCUCCCUUUUAGAGAAGAAUCAAAUCCAAUAGGAAUAUCAACUUAUCUGUUAGAAGAAAUGCCACCAUAUGAACCAAGGAAAGCAACAGCACUCCUGGGGAACGGGAUUGGGGGAUGGAAGUGACAAAAGCGCAGGCAUUGAAUACAAGCCAGGAAUAGAAUAAUGAAACUCUCAAGCCCACUUGAGAAUCCGCUGUGAGGGAAUGCUCUCUUGUUCACGAAUGCCCAGUUGGAGUAUAUGCUCUUCUUGCCUUGAUUAUUGCCUUCUCCUUGUAGUGAAACUAAUCCAUAAUGAAAACCUCUUGUUAGUAACUACACUAUUUGCCUUGACUUUGAUGAUGGCUGUCCCAACUCCAUUUAUGCGAGAAGUACACCGAAGUAGAGUUCCAGAAGAUAAGUAUUGAAGCAGUCAAAAAGAGCUAACAGUUUCAAUGGAAAUGGAAUUAAGCGAUGCAAGAAAACAAGCAAGCGCAAGAAUAUAUAGUACAUGAGUAAGACUUCCGGGCAAGAACAAGAAGCAAGUAUACGCUGAUUUGAAGCUAUGCAGUGAGGAAUCAGUGUUGUUAAUCUGUUGACUUGCCUCCGGACUAUUACUAACGCCGAUGACUAAAAACAUGGAUUUUUCAUCACUCCUUGCUAGGUGCACUCUCUUCAACAAGCAAACUAGCAAUACAGUGUUUGUUUUACUAUCUAUUAUGCUAUGCGAGAUAGCUGAUUAACAUUCAUUGCGAGAUUAGCUUCUCAAUUCCAUUCAACAAGCAAGCAACAGCGUUAGGAGUUUGUAAAGCUUAGAGCAAGGAAAGAAAGGAGUAAGGAAUUUGGUAGAGCAGAUACAGAGCCAGGCCAGGCCAGAUAUAAUGUCAGAAGUGAGUUUGAUAAUCAUUCUCCCCUUCCGAGUACAUAUAUAGCUUAGAGGCAAGGCAGGAGUAAGUAAUAAAUAAGCAGUUCUGUUUCAACAAGCAGUUCAGUUACCCUUUGAUAGAUGUCAGCAGUGUUUUCUUACCACAUGACACAAUAGGUGCACUCAAACAAGCAACGAACAAGCAGCUUUCAUAUAUGGGCAAGCAAUAACAUCUAACGGAAUUCUAUUACCGGGAGAAAUUGAUGAAUCAGAUGAUGGGCUUAUUAGGGCCUUCUUUCUCGGAUGGAAAUCGAUCUAUGUCAGCAGAGAUAGAUCCGUAGAUCAAGUUGUUGAGAUGAGUCGAUGUCGCGGGUUGACAGCUGAUAUGCAUGACAAAGCGAUGGAUUCUCCUAUCUCAAGGGAUGCUAGGCUCUUUUCACUAGAAAAUAGAUUAGGUCACCUAUGAUACGAAGCGCUAAAGAAUGCCAGCCUUAUGCACCGGCUCUAACGGCUGACACCCAAGAUAGAUGCUUUCAGUCAUCAAUGCUUAUAAGGAGUUACGUGAUUCCUUAGUAAACCCGCUCUUUCAUUUCAACUCCGAGAUGGAUGCAUAAGAGAGCUCAAACCAUCGUCUUUUACAGUGGGUAGCCGGUCUCAAUGUUGGCCUUCCAUCGGAGUUAUGCCUUCCUAUCG